rnacentral:lncRNA from 1 species
ACCCUACUCUAAUAAAGCUUUAAUAUCUGGAGCUCAUAGGUGGGAGAUAAAAUAUACAUACUUACAAGACAUUUAUUGUAUAGUCAAACCAUGGAUCCAAAGAAACAAAUCAAUAAGUCAAAUGAAGAUGUGCAUGUGUGGCGAAUGAAUGGUGUAUGGUGAUGAUAAUGGUGGAAGUCUAAUUCUACUUUUGCUCUUUGAGGGGAUACAUACCUUCCUUGCUUUUUGAAAUUUUAUGAGGAGAAUGAGAUGCUCUUCUUUUUCUUUUCUCUCAGGUGGGUAUCUUGUACCCCUAAUUCUACUGUCGGACACUUGUCCAUUUUUACCUCUCGUCUCACUCUUUUUCUUUUCUUUCGAGGUUCCGGGCACUUGCCCUUUUUUUAGAGCACUCAUCUCUUGAGAUAAUAUAGCAAGUGGUAGUAAGAAGAUAACUCGAGCAUUUAUUUCAUAGGGAAAAACAGAAAUGUUUUUGGCUAUUCUCUCCCGGAUUAGGAGUAGAAUAUUUUUAGGUGAUUCUGGAGAUGGAAUGGUGGAUAUAUGUGGAUGGUACUUCCAGAGUAGAAGUAGCAUAUAUGAGUGAACGUGCAAGUGAAUCUUGAUUUAACCACAUGACAAGCUCCUAAGGGUCUACACAGCUUGACCACACUCAAUGCUCAUAAGCAGUAAAUAUUAAAUGUGUGGCUCAAAGUCUAGCAAGCAUGUAUAUAUGGCUAUGGUAGGAAUUUAAACUCUCAUCAUACAGAAACUCAUCAUGCAAUAUUUUAAAGAUUUUCAAAGAUAAAAUUCUCCAGAAUUCUAGCAUAUCUAGGAACAGAUAAACUGUGGCAGAACCUCCUAAGUGUUUGGGUCCACCGACACCUGUCAUUGUCCUACGGACCUCUGACGGUGAUGUCGGGGAUCCUCCCACUCUAGAAGUCCGAUGAGCAUCGCUGGACGCUCAUUCCACCGCUACCUGUGGCGUAUCAAGCAAGCUCGUCCUGACCACUAGUGAUGGUCAAUUAACGAGAACUUCUUCUUCUCGCCCUUACAGGAUAGCAAGUGGCCACCUUAACACCAGGAUCACUCGUUGAGAAGACAUUGCAGUAUCACAAACGACAUAAGACCAAAAUAACAUUUCAGAGUAAAACAGCGGAAGUAUUACAUAACUUAUUUUACAAAAGGAGUUCUUCCAAAUAGUAGAGUGUUAUUACAAGCCUGGUCCAGCGGAGCAACUUAUACUUUAGUACACAGAUUAAAAAUUUACAGACCCUGCCCAUGGGUCACGCUCACUCUUCCUCAUCGUCAACUUCGACGACGGUCACACAACAGGGUCCGAAGCAAGUCGGCUCCUGAGCUUCACCUACAACAGGGGUUAUAAAACCCUGAGUACGAGAGUACUCAACAAGACUUACCAGGUGGAAAAAGAGGAGAAGGAAGGAAUGCAGGCUUAGGGUAGACAAGGGGUGGCUGAGCAAGGAGCCAAAUUGCUUUGCCAAAAAGCUUACUAAUAGUGCAUCCUUACUUUCAAGUUUUACCCACGAAUUCCUCUCCUCAAGAGGCCGAGGAGUUCGAGGACAGUCUAUCUAGUUGCCUCCCACAGACAAGUCUGUGAGUUCCUAGUCCUAAAUCAUAGUAUUAUCUAUCCAACGGCCAUAGCUUCAUGUCACUCUGAGUCCGGGAAUUGGGAUCCGAACCUCAUGAGACAUUUCCCCUUUCUCAUUUUAUCACUUAGUUGCAUAUUUAACUACGAUGAGGGUCAGUGGAUUGAGUCUCCCAAUCGGGGAGCAACGACGAUUCGAACCGCUUAGCAAUCCAGCUGGAGUUCCUAACCACCCGACAUAUGUAGAACCAAAUCUUGCAUAUGUCAACCCAAAUCAAGCUCUCCCCAAAUUUGACUAGGUUCACGGCACCCAAGAGCACAGUACUCCACCAUCCUACAGCCGAUCUAGAUGUUUCCCAGUCAUCUCAGAUCCGUAAGGUCGGUACACGCUACUCUCGCCAUCGCUCCACGCCCAGUGCGCGAGUAGCUGUUCGCGUCGAGGGAUCACAAGACCGGGCUUACCGAGGGCAAGUGGCUAGUACUAUCAAUUCUCAACCCAUCAGGCCACCAAUGGACCGGUCCUUAAUCAACACAGUUGGAGACACUACUUUAAGACUCCAUUCUUAAAGCAAGUCCACCGACCGGUCUCAAAUUGAAACAUCAUUGAUCAUACGUGUAUUCCACAACAACCCUUCAAACUUUCUUGUUUGAAAACCUAUCUAGUAGCAGGGCUAAGCAUCACUACGCAGUUUUAAAACAAAACAGAUGCCAAGGACAAGAUAACAAAUAUCAAGGUAGUAAAUGCAGCAAGUAGGUUAACCCAAUUCUCAACUACCUAGUGCAGCAUUUUCAAUUCAUAAGUGAUAAAAGAUUUAAAACAUUCAAAGAGGGGUUAAUGCAUCUAGGGCUUACCUUAGUUGCAGAGCUGAGAGGGACCCUCAGAGACUUCCCAAGUCUCGGAUCCUACUUCCUCGAACGGAGCACCGACCUCGGGGUUGGGUUCAACGGUCGCUCCUUCGGUCACGGGCACUAUAUGCAAAAUGAUGUAUGCUCAUGAUAUGCGUAUGACAAAUAUUUAAGAAGGACCAAGUUAAGCACAACUGUCCUUCUCGGUGCAACACAAACUAAUUAAUAACUAAAGUUGUUUAUCAUCUUAGUGUCUUUACCCAAGAGGUUGCAUCUGUAAACUAAGAUUCCUCUUAAUUCAUAAUUAUCCUAAAUUAUCUAAUUAUUAAUCAUUUUUACCUUAAUUAAUUCUUAAUUAAUUAUUAAUGACAGUAAUUAAGCAUUAAUGCCAAACAAUAAUUAAAUGCCAAAUGUCAUUACGGUUAAUGACCUUAGGUCAUCACACAAUCCCAAAAUCACUGAAACCCUAAUUAUGAGGAUUUAACUAAUUAUUAAUUAAGGGUAUAAUAAUAUUUUAUUCAAACAUUAUCCAAAUGCCACUAAAUUUUAUGUGAAGCUAGGGAAUAAUAUUCAGAGGCAUUCCACAAAUUUUGGUGAUUUUUGGACAUAUAAAUAAAUUAUUAAAAUUCCUAGAAGUUUUAUUUACUAAUUAAAAGAGGCAAUUUUUUUACACAUGCAAACUACCAGAGAAGAAAAUCUACUAUUCUUCUUGUGUUAUACUUAUUUCAUGGGAUGUAUACAAAAAUUUUCAUGAUUUUUUGAAUCAAUACACAAUUUAAUAUGCAAAAUCAAAUAUAAAGCAAAAUUGCUUAAAAAGAAAAAAGAAAAAGCCACUGCGCAGCGAGCGGCUUGGAAUCCGGCCCGUAGGCCGGCCCGCUCCCGCUCGGCCCACGCGGGCGCUGCGCGCGCGCUCUCCCUCUGCACGCGGUCACUGACGGGCGGGUCCCGUCCGUCAGACCUUCCUUCCCCUUCUCUCUGCAGGACUCUUACGGGGAGGUCCCACCCGUCAGCUCCUUCUUCUUCACGCGCGGCCGCACUGCCAUGGCUCCGGCCGCCUUUAGCGAGGUCCUCGGCCCGCGCGCGCGUGCGCAUCAGCCUCGCCUCGCCUUCGCAAUUCCGUUGACACCCUCUACUCACGCUCUACUCUCUCCCUUCUACCUCGGCCACGCGAAAGGCGGGCGGCCAUGGCGGUCAACCGUGGACCGGUCACUAGAGCUCGGUAGAGCGCAAACGAACAUGCUAGUGAGCUUCCACGAAGGUUAGAGAGUAUGGUGCUCACGUUGCGAGGCUCGAGGGGGUAGCCGAGGCUGCUGGCGACGAAGACGGUGCCGUCGGGCGGCGCUCUGAGCUCAACGACGUCGUUCCGGCGAUCCUGCUCGCGUUUAAGGAAAAAGAGAGAGCGCAUGAGUUGUAGGAGCUGAAGAGGAACCGGAAACGACCGCGAGCAAGGUGUGCCACUCACUGGAACAGCGCGGCCACGGGGGGAAGUUCUACGGCGGAGGUUUCUGCCGGAGUUGGGGGAGAAGAAGGAGUGCCGGCGUUUGGGCGGGUUAGGGAGUGAGCUCGGGGGUGCACUGGGUUCGCAAGGGUGUGGCGAAUGCUAUGGAGUGCUCAAUUGAGUUGGAGAGGGAUCGAGGGGGACGAAUUUGAGGGCGCAGCCGGGUCGUCGGCGUCGGGCAGAAAAAAAGGGAGAAGCGAGGCGUCCGUGCAGUAGGAUCAGCAGGGAAGUGGAUGAGCACGCUGGGGGCUCGUCCACAUCACGGCGGGCUCGCGCUGCCAAGAAGCUGCGUGGCCAGGCGCGUGGCGGCGCUGGGCGCAGCGGCUCUGCCCCCGGCGGCAGAGCAUCCCCCCAUGCUCAGCACUGUAGCAAACUCUAUCCACUCAGUUUUGUGGUUUUGCAAAAUUCGCCCAAACUUUGAACUAAAGGCAAAAUUCCACCAAAAUGAAAGUUGUGCAGAAUUUCCAAAGCUACAAAACAUCUGUUGGUGACCAAAACUAAUUCUGAGUGGAAAUUAGUGAAUUUGUCAAAACAGUUUGCAAUUCAAAUCCUAAUUCAGGGAAAUUCAAAUUUUUGAAUUGGGGGCAAAUCAGAAUUUCCAAAAUUACUUUUGAUUUUCAUGAACAACUUGAAAAACUCCCAACAUGAAAGUUGUUCAACUGUUUGAGCUCUACAACUUUCAUGUUGGUCACUUUUCAAAAUUCCAAAUAGAUUUUGAAUUGGAGAUUCAAAUUGGAAAAGGGGACACUUUCUGGAAAUCUGUAUUUUCCAAAUUACUUUGAAUUUUGUAUUGAAACUUCAAAAACUCAAAACACCAAAGUUGUAAAUCUUGACAAGAUCUACAACUUUUCUUUUGAACUCAACCUCAAAUUUUGCUUGGUUUUUAAAUUGUGCAAAAGGGGGCAAUUCUAGGGUUCAAAAAUCAGGGUUUCCCUCCCUAAUCUUUCAGAAACUUUUCACCCUAGGGUUUUAGCAACCAACACAAGCAUCAAUACACAAAAUAAACACACUUUAGAUCCCUAAGCACAAGCAACCAAAGUAAACUUGUUUUAAGUUGGUGCAUCAAGUUGUGCUUAACAAAUUUGCCAUGCAAUGCUUAUGAUGACAUGAUCAAAUUUUAGUAACCGUAACCUCGGGGAUGUUACAUAAACAGCAGCUCAACCUUCCCAUAUCAUAUCCGUUAACAACUUAGACUUCAGAUCAAGUUUUCAUCCCACAAGUUUAGGUCUAGAGUAAGCUUUAAAUUAUAACAGUUAUGUCUAAACUUGAGAGAGAACUUAAAAUGUGCAAAUUAGGCAAGGCAACUAUUCAUCAUAUCCAUGCUUGAGUUUUAUUUAGAUACAGAUUAGCAUAGCCAAUUUAUUUAUUAAACACACUAAGCAAAAGGAAAAUAUAUAAGCAUAAAAUUUUUAUUUGGUUUUCCAUAGUUAUAUUUUAAUAUAGUAUAAGUAUAAAGAUAGAUAGAUAGAAAUACUUAUCGAGAUAAAUGGGGGUGCUCUCCCCCAAGCUGAAUUUUGACGUAAUUUCCCUUCAUGUAGCUAGGAGGUCGCAGAGGUGUAUUUGAAAGUCGGUAGCAUUCUGACAGCGAUUAGAAUGUCCUCCGUCUGCUAGUCUUCUUGAUUCUUAAAUUCUGUGGAGCUCAAAUAGACAACGAAGCUUGUGGAACUGAUUAAGUGUUAGCAUAAAUAUCUAGCCUUUAUCAUGUUGAGACUCCUUAAUAAAUAUUACUCCCUGUUUUUAUAUUUUCAUUUUAUAAAGCAGAAAUGAAAAUUUUCAUUUUAUUUUUAUGCCACCACAGUGAAUGUACUUAUGGGUUCUAUGCCACUCGUAUACUCAUAUGGGGCUUACUGUUUUUCACAUUUUUAUUUUCUUUUUAGGGUAGUAUGAACAUGAUUAACUAAGCAAACUAUUUUAAAUAAUUGAAAGGGAAAGGAUAACUACCAAGUUUACCUCUUGGCAAGGCGUUCGGUGUUUUUAAGUCCUCCGAAUGGGACUCUCCUCUUUCUCAAUUGUCCUGGGAUUCGUUGGGUAGCGGAGUCGGUACUUCCGGCGGCGCCUCCUCUUCAUGUAUAGUUAUCUUCUGUUUCCAUACCUGACUCGGUGCUUCGGUCUCCUCUGGAUAAUUCUGUUUAAACUCUACGUCUUCUGACCUUAUCACUUCUCCUUCGUAGUCUGCCCAUCCGUCCUUGAUGAUCUGCAUCCUCUUCUCUGAGGGGAAGUGCAUAUGGACUUCUCCAGUUCUAAUGUAGAUAAUUGCUUUAACGUUGCUGAGGAACGGUCUACCAAGGAUGAUGGGUGGAUCAUACUCAUCUUCUCCCAUGUCAAUAACCUGAAAGUCAGUGUAGACAAAAUGAUCGUCUAUUUCCACUGGGACAUCAAUUACGGUUCUUUUAACUUCUCGAAACGUCUGAUCUGCCAUCUGGAGCUGAAUAUAUGUUGGUUUUAGGGGCAUGGUUCCUAACAAGAGCCGAUAGGUGACUGCGGCCAUUAUGUUGACGCCCGAUCCGGUGUCGCAAAACGUCUUGUAGAAGCUAUAUCCAUUUAUGGAGCAAUAGAUGCUUGGCAUUCUUGGGUCGUCCUUCUUGCUCAAAAACGGUGACUUAAGUUGAUGAUCUUGGCCUCCAUGAACUGCAGUGACCAUCUUAGCUGACUCGGUCCUCACUUGCUUGUUCCUGUUCCUCCUGUUGGUCCUCUUCCUUGAUUCACGUCUGGAUUGAUCUGGAAUUUGUGUAGUCUUGUUCUUGAAGAAAAAUGUCUCCUUCCUCCCUUUGAUGUAGAAACUGAUCUUGGCAGCACUGGCGUAGAUGAUAGCUCCCGAGGUGUUCAAGAAUGGCCUCCCUAGGAUGAUAGGUGCUCUCUCAUCAUUACUGGUCUCUACCACUACGAAGUCUGCUGGGGCAUACAAGGUACCAACUCGGACACAAAGGUUCUUCAAUAUUCCUUUUGGAAAACUUAUUGUCUGAUCUGCAAACUGCAAACAAAUGGUUGUUUCUAAUAAAGGAUAUGUAAAGAAUUUUUCAUAGAGUACCCUGGGUAUAAUGUUGACACUGGAGCCAAAGUCGCAGAGUGCUUCUGUAACGUCCCCCAUGCCGAUGGAGAUCGGGAUGACGGGGCGUCCUGGAUCACCUCUCUUGACCGGCAGAAGGUCAGUAGUGAAUUCUAUGAUGGGGUUACUCCAAUUAUUACCUGCAUCAAACAUGUCUACAAGAUUUGCAGAUUCUAAUCCUUCCGGUUGUGAUGGUAUACCGGAGUUAGUAGCAGGAACAGCAGCAGCUAUUUGAUUUAACUGAGAUUCAAUCAUUUUAUUAAAGCUAAUUUGAUUCUUGAUGGCAGUAGAGAAAUUAUCCAUUCUAUUAUUUAUAUUUUAUAGCAUUUUAUCAUUAGAUGCCAAUUUCUUAGAUAGGUUAUCCAUUAGCUUUCCUUGAUUAGACACUAACUCUCUCAGAGGUGGAAAAUUAUUAUUAUUGUUGUAAGAAUUGUUACCUUGAUAAUUACUUGAGUAGUUAGGCCUCUGUUGAUUCCAACCUUGAUUUUGUUGAGGACGGUUGUAGUAGUUGUUGUUGUUAUUGUUGAUGUAGUUCACAUCCUCAAGUAUCUCAGGGCAGUGAUUGCCUGAGUGUCCAGUAUCUCCACACUCCUCACAAGUCAUGUGAGAGUCGUAGAUGUGCAUAACUUCUUUCUUAUCUCUAGCUCUAUCAUCGAGCUUCUUCAUGAGCAGGUCUAGCUUUACAGAUAGCAUGUCUACCUCCUUGAGCUGAUGCAUACCUCCACCUCUCUUGCGUGUCUGGGUCCUCUCUUCAUUCUAGCCUUGGUUGGACGCCAUCUUCUCCACAAGAGUUGUGGCUUGUGGUAUAGUAAGUGAUAAGAAUGCUCCUCCAGCUGCAGCAUCCAUGGUCUCUCGGGCACUGUUGCCGAGUCCAUGAUAAAACGUCUGCAUCAAUAGCCAACUCUCCAUUCCAUGAUGGGGACAUUCUAAGAUGUAGUCUUGGAAGCGCUCCCAUGCUUCUGGAACAGAUUCGUCAUGUUGUUGCUGAAAACUUGUAAUGUUCCCACGGAGAGCAUUGGUCUUGCCCAUGGGAAAGAACUUAGCCAGGAAGUUUGUUGAGCAGAGUGCCCACGUAAUAUUCUUUUCCUUUGUAGCAUAAAACCACUGCUUCGCUCUUCCUAACAGCGAGAAUGGGAAGAGGCAAAGUAGUAUAGCAUCUCUGGAAACUCCUGAUAUGGUAAAUGUGUUGCAAAUCUCCAGGAAGUGUUGUAGAUGAGCACUAGCAUCUUCAUGUGGCUUCCCACAGAACUGGUUGGAUUGCACCAUGUUGAUAAGUCCAGGCUUGAGCUCAAAGUUACCAUCGAUCUCUGCAGCAGGUCCAGUGCGGAUGUUGUCCGUAGUGGGAGCUGAGAACUCGCGGACCGAUUUGUUCGCCAUGGCUUCGAACUCUGAAGAUAAGUUUCGGUGAUCUUCUAGAUUGGAUGAAGCUUCUUGCUGAAGUGUUGAUGAUCUCUUCUUGAGCUUGGCUCUCGUCUUCUUGAAUAAUGCUUCAGGAUUGUCAACAAAAUUUCCUGGAAGAUGUCUUCUAUUCAUACAUUCCCCUGCAUAAGAUAAAAUAGAAAAAUAUCGGGGUAAAACUGUAUGAUAGAAUAGAUAAGCUCAAUCAUAUUAGUGAUGCGAAUGAUAACUCAAAAUCCUUUAUAACAUUCCUGAUUAGUAAUCAACCUUCCCCGGCAACGGCGCCAAAAAUGCUUGUUGGGUAUUCUUAACAUCAUUACCAAAAGUAGACUAAGUUCUCUAAAUCUAGUAACGGUGCCAAAAAUGCCAAACCUAUCCCUCAUACCACUUAAGCCAAGUUGUCAUCCCCAGCAUGAAAUGAGAGACGCGGUAUUGAAAUAUGCAAUUGCUCUUCUAAAUAAAUAAUGAAUGGGAUCUGCAAGCGCAUAGAUUAAUACCGAUGUAGCAUUUUAACCGGGAAGUAUUCCAGGUAUCGUUAUUUAUAUUUUUACCAGUGGGAAGGGAUUAGCAAUCAUCAAUAUUGAUUACAGAAUAGAAUAUGAGAUUGAGUAUCUAUCAUUGCAUGUAUAAUUGAGAACAUUUAUCUAUCUCUUUCAUACAGGGUGACACAUAAAGGAUGUAUGAAAUAAUGAACAGUGACAAAGAUAAUUGAUCUGAUCAGCCACAUAUAAAUAUGAUAAGCACCUCAAUUAGAUACUCUAGAAAGUCAUAAGCAUGGUAUUAGAACGAACUAUAAGAAUAUUCCCUAAGUUAUUCUCAACUAUAUAGUUUAGCAUUAUCAUAAUUAGUGCAAGCAUACUUAGCAAUCAUUGUGAGACAAGACUACGCCCAUGCAUAGUGAUAUUAUCAAGGUAAACGAGAAACAUAGCAAUCACUCCCCUGUAAUAAUAUUGCUCUGCCAGCCCAAUACACGAGAGGGAGACUAUAUAAGAAUCAAUGAAGCUCUCACUAUCACGAACUACCCCACGAUCUGGCAUAUUGGGUACAAUCGUAGAUAAAUACGGUAUAAGCACCACGCCUACACAAUAUCUAUCAUUUACCCAUGGAUCCGAUGGAUAAAUGCUAUACGAUCCUAAGCAUGUAUAUAGAUCCAAUCUAACUAAGCCAAGUACAUAACUAUGACAAACUAAGAACAAUAUAAUCUUGAAUAUAAGCAAGUAGAGCAAAGUCAUAAGCAAUAUAUUGAAGUAGAACAAAGUCAUAUUCAUAAUAUUGAAGAACAAAGAUAAUUAGAAGAACAAUUAGAAGCACAAUUAGAGAAUUACCAAGAAUCCUCUUGACAGAUCCGGAAACCAAUCGAAGAUUGACUCCUUCUAGUUCUAAUCCUAUGUAGCUAUGCUAAUCUAGAUGUCUAAUUGAUGUGGUGGCUCUAAUCUUGAUCAGAGGCUUCUUCUCCCUUGAAGAACAAUGAAUUAGGGUUGAGAGGCUCUCUCCUCUAGGGGCCAGGGGGUCUGGUUUUAUAGUCCCUUCAAGUGAAUAUGGGUCGUUGGAUCAAACCGACAUAGAUUGAACGGUUAUCCUUGAUCCUUUAGGUCGGUGGAGAUCUCCCGAGAAACAGAGUCCUGAUUGGACUUAGAGAGGGGGCGGGCGCUCAGGGAAACAGGGCGGGUGCCCUGCCUCUGGCCCCUUUCGGUCUCCGCUUUCUUCUCGUGGCUUCUGGAGUCUUCUAGAUGUAAGAUAAUUGCACGCUACGUUAAUAUCUCUAUGUAAUCCCGACGUGUGGGCCUUUCUUCCAUAUUUCCUGAUAACCCCCUGCAGAAAUAGACAAACACCAGAACUCGUGGAAUUCUAUCAAAUAAAACCCUAAAUCUAGAUGUUGAUUUCAUUUGGAUCCUUUUCUUUGUUUAUUUGAUAAUUAAAUUUGAUACUUAAGGACCGUCAACAGAAAGCAUUGUGAAAAGGGCGUCAUUAUUAGGAGAGAAUUUCGGAGCAUUAAUAAUUUUAUACUCCAAAAUUGGGGGGCAUGUGUUGACACUGUUUUUUGGACACGUAUCAGCAAAGUUAAUGAAGCUUGGAUCGGCAGCUAGAAAAGUAAUGAUUGACCGAUAAGGAAGUUACCGAUGACCUGUGAUACUGAUGACCGAAGGAGGAUAUGGUUAAGUUCAGGAAUAGUGGUUGAUCGGUGCCAAUGGUUGGUGUUGAUGAUUGCCGAUGCCAACGGAGGAUGAUAUGCCGAUGAUGGUGAAGGAAGACAUGGGAGUCAUCGGGGGGGGGGACAAUGGUGGUGUGCCGAUCAUCCAGGAUAAAUAAAUUUUUGUUUUCCAUAAUUGUUAGAGUUUAUUUUAGGUAUGAGUUCUGUUUGAUUUGGAAUUAGAAUCCUAGUCGUAUCUAGUUGUAACUCUUUAGGACAGAGUAUAAAUAUAGACCUAGUAGCGAUGUAAGAAAUAAUCCAAUCAAUACUAUACACAACUUUUACAUCUACUUUUGCAUCUACUUAUUCGACGACUUCGUCAACUCACAUAUUUUCUUUUACAUACGAGUUCUUAAGAAUUCAUCGAGUUAUACUCGACGGGUUCUCGAGUUCCGCAUGAAUACCUCCUGGCCGUGACAUCCGGGAGCAUCGCUGUUUGAGUUACCACCUUUGUUGGUUGUAAGGUCAAAUCGGCUGGCACGCCUUAACGUUGAAUCGGGUAUUAGCCCUUUGUGUUUGCAGAUCCACUUUUGCAUCAACAACAAGAUUGCAUCCACUCGAGGCACUGUCCCACCAGACACGUGCUCAAGGGACCUGCUCGAACCAUCUGUUGACCUCAGCUCGAGGGCGAGCGUCGAGGCCUCCGCUCCUGAGCCCGCCGAUACAAUCGAGGCUCUACUGGCAGCGGCAGAAGUAAUGGAAAUCGAGCAACCCUCUCAACACUCCAGUCAGCCAUUUCAUCGGUGUACGCCCUUCCUCGACUGACUGAUCCGGGGUGAAUUACUAGAAGGUCGAGCUGAGCUCGUCGUAUGGCUCGACGAGCCAAAUCAUAUGUGAUCUAUGGCGAAAGCGAAGAGCUGUACCGACGAAGCCCAACCAGGAUCUUACAGCGCUGCAUCACCAUAGAGGAAGGCCGGAAGCUCUUCGAGGAUCUGCACUUGAGGGCUUGUGGCCACCAUGCGGCUCCGAGAACCCUCGUCGGCAACGACUUUCGACAAGGCUUCUACUGGCCAAAGGUUGUCGCUGACGCCAUCGAGCUUGUUCGUUCAUGCCACGUGUGCCAAUUAUACGCCAAGCAAACCCAAUUCUUCGUCGAGCGUGCCAACGACAUGAUUUUGCAAGGGCUCAAGCCUAGAAUCUACAACCGGCUGUAGAAGUUCGGCAAGAAAUGGGUCGAGGAACUCUCCUUGGUCCUAUGGAGCUUAAGACCGAUGCCAAGCAGAGCCACAAAAUACACCCCGUUCUUCAUGGUCUAUGGCUCCGGGGUUGUACUUCCAACAGACCUCGAGUAUGGGUCACCUCGACUCAAAGCCUACAACGAGUAGACAAACAAGGAGACUCGAGAGAAUGCAGUCGACCAACCUGAGGAAGCUCGAGACAUGGCCCUCCUCAACUCAGCAAGGUACCAGCAGAAGCUUCGAUGCUACCACGACAAGCACGUACGCAAGAGGGACCUCAACGUGGGCGACCUCGUCCUACACCAACGGCAAAGCAACCAAGGACGCCACAAGCUGACCCCACCAUGGGAGGGUCCGUACAUGGUGGCUGAGGUCCUAAAACCUGGGACAUACACGCUCACGGAUGAAAAGGGGGCAGUCUUCACCAACGCAUGGAACAUCGAACAGCUAUGUCGAUUCUACCCCUAAAGCAUCAAAGCUUCAUGUUUCAUAUACAUCUUGUACCAUCAAGGCUCUGUGAAUGUAUAUUUGAAUAAAUGAAAGUACUUUUUCAAGUAAUGCAUGAUAUUACCAUUAAAUCUCGACAUUAGGAGGAAGUCUAGACUAUGACCCAUCAUAGUCGAAACUCCCUCAGGGGCUGCAGGGGGAACCCAACAGGCUCUAAAAAAUCAAACGUUUUUUCAAAAGCUCGAUGUUAUAUUUUCCCUUUCAAGCCCCAAGGAAACCCCGCAUGAUCGAGUAGUAAAGGCACCUCGAGCCCCUUAAGGGCCGAUGGACGUCAAGCCUGAGAACCUCUAUGCCUCUGGGCUAUGGUAACUCUACUCACUCCCUAACCCUCGAGGCAAUCAAAGUCGUUUUUAAUGAAAGAUCGAUCGAGGAACACAAACUUAGGCAGGAAGGCAAUAAAGGAAACUCGAGCAUAAAAGUAACAAGAAUAUACAGAAACCAUGAGUCUUAAGGCCACUUAGGCCACAAUGUUUAUCUAAGACAAAGUGCUAAAUAUAUUACAAUGGGUCCAAGUACCCAGAUUAGGCUCGCAGGCCUUAGUCUUCAUCUCUGCCUUCAACCCCGUCUUCUAUGCCCACGCCGAUCUCAGGAGGGAGCACCUCUGGCUUGAACAGCUUCACCAGCCUUUCGUCAGGAACCUCUGCUUCAUCGAUCAAGGCAUGGAGCCUCUCCUCGUUCUCAACGUCAGUCUUGGAGAUGUCAGUGACGAAGCCAUGGGAUACUACCUCCAUAUCAUAGGAGAAACCCGAGCAGAUGACCGCAAUAGCCCGCUUCACCCGAGUAUGGAGGUCGUCCCCGCACUCGGUCCAUCACAACACCACCUAAGUAGCACAGCUGGUCGACCAGAGCAUCACCUCAAGCCACCUCCCCCGCCUCCUUUACAGGCUCGAGCUCCCAAGUGGCCGAGAGGUCAUUGAUCGUUGUUCUGAGUCGACCAGUCAGCUCGAUCUCUCCCUAGAGUUGCGCCUUAAGAGACUAGGAGUCGACCUAGGCUCCUAGCAGAUCAUCCUUAAGCCCUAUAGAGAUCAAGAUAAGGAGUCAGGCGACAGAAAAGUCACACCGCAGAAACAAAGAAAACAUAAGAGCAUAGAAGACCUACCAUGGAUCUUCUCUUCAACAGACAUGUUUUCUCCAACGAAGUCGGUGUUGGCCUUCUUGAUUUUCUUGUAAGAGGGGUCAGCUCCAUCUUGUUGACCCGCAGGUCCUCGAUCAGCUUGCCCAACUGCAGGAUAGCGUCUUCUUUUUCUUGCAGUGCUUUCUUUAGACGAUCGAUGUCAUCACAAAGGCCGCGAGAGCGGGCUUGCUCUGCCUCGAGGUCCUCACGGGCCUUCUUCUCAACUUCCUCCACGGUGCUUCAAGCGAUCUUGCUCUUCAAAUGUGCCUCCUCCAGCCCAGCAUAACUGUUCCGGGCGGCAGCAAGGUCCGACUCAACGAGCCUUUUUCCUCUGUCUAGCUCGACGGCAUCAUCCUUAUACCACGUGGCUUCCUCCCGAGCCUUAGCAGCCGCCUCCUCAGCCGAGACAGCCUGCUACCUUAACUGGGCGGCUUCCUCCUUUGCUUUCUCCGCGGCCUCUUGAGUGACAUGGGCGUCUUCCUCCGCUCGGGAUACCUUAACGUUCAUACUAGACAUGGUCUUCCAAGCAUCGGUCAGAGCGGCCUCCUUCUUCUGUUUCUCCUCCUCGGCCGCAGUAAGCUUCUUAAGCACCUUAAGAAGCUUUUCUUGCGACUCGAGGAGCUGAUCCUUGAGAAGAGGAAUCUGCUCCUAGCCACCCCUCGUCGCAUGAAUGAAGCCUGAUUUCAGCCGACAGGUCUCUUUCAGAUCCUGCAAAAGAACGCAAGGUCGUAAGCACACCAGCGAGCCAUAAGGCCAAAAAUAAUGAAAGUUGAGACGUCCUUACAAAGAAGGCCUAGACCAGGCCAUUGUUGAUGAUGUCAGACAUGAGACCCACGAUGCGCUUGUUGACACCGUUUUUGGGCACGUGUCCAUGAUUGGUAGAAUGCAGGUUGGCAAGAUAAGGCCGCAGUGCUUGGUCUACAUGAUGAGUUGCCGAUGAGGAUGGUUGUCGAUGGAGGGACGGCUGAACAUGACCAUGUCCAUAAGUGAUGAUGUGUUUGUGUCGAUGGCUAUAACAGGGGAGUCUGCCGAUGAUGCGGAGGAAGAACCUGAAGGUUGCCGAUCGGUUUGUGGAGGUGUUCCAGUUUGUCACGAGAGCAUAGUUUUAUGUUUUCCUUAGUUAUUUAGGUCGUUUUGUAUGCGGAUUCUGUUUAAUUUGGAAUUCAAAUUCUAGUCAUGUCUGGUUGUAGCUCUGCGAACAGGGUAUAAAUGUAGACCCUGAGGCUUUGUAAAGGGACAUCUAUCAAUCAAUCAAACACAAGUUUUUACUCAUAUUCUAGUACCUACUUUUUCGAUGACUUCGUCAUACUUUUGCCUUUUUAUUACGAGUUCUUAGGAAUUCGUCGACUUAAGCUUGGAAUGUUCUCAAGUUCCGCGUGAAUACCUCUUGGCUGUGACAUCCGGGUGCAUCGCUGUUGUCGGGACCAAAGUAUUCGAGUUACUACCUUUGCCGAUAGUAAGGUCAAAUCGGCUGGCACGCCUUAACGUUUAAAUCGGGUAUUAGCUCUUUGUGUUUGCAGAUCAGCUUUUGCAUCAACAGUGCUUCAUCCAAAGAUGAAGCUCUUCAAGAUGCUCCCACUUCUCGGCCUCUUUCCGAUCGUCCAUCAUGAUGUUGGGCUCAUCUAGAGACGUAGAGCAUCAAAGGCGGAUCCUCCUUGGACCCCAGUGCUCGAGCUCUUCCUUCGUACGCUCCUUGGUGCCCUAGAUGAGCUCCUGUAUCGUCUCGAGUGAGCCCCCAUGGCGCAGAAAUAGGUCAAUGUGGGAGGGGAAUCGCCCAUCAUCAUCGACAGAGCCCCAAGUCCCGGUCUCCUCUGCCUCACCGCCACCAGAUGUCCUGGCCUCGUCUUCCCCGCCUACGCCAGAAGUUCCGUCCACGUCCUCCCAUGGCCGCCGACCCUCUAGAUAGCCCGGGGCAAUCCCCUCAAUGCCAUAGAGGGUCCCCUUAAUCUUUGAACUCGGGUCCGUGGGCGUGCGCAUGGCGAGCGCCAGCACCACGACACCGUCCUCCUGCCGUGGCUCGACUAGUACGGUGGCGGGCCCCACAGGACAAAGCCAUAGGGGAGUCGCAGGGCUGUACACGGGCAGCUCCUCUUCCCCUGUUUCCACCCUGUGCCCUUCCUCGAGCUGUCGCCGCUACUCUGACAGCUGUUGCUGCUGUUGCUGUUCUAGCAACACCUCCAGCUAUUGUUGUUGUUGUUGCUGCUGCUAUAGUUGCUGCUCCUGCAGCUCUUGCUGCCGGUGCAGCUCCAGCUCCUCCUCCAGCUGCUGUUGCCGCCGCCACUGCUCCUAAAGUUCCUACUAUCGCCGCUGCUUCGACAGACGUUGCUCCUCCUCGUUCUUCUUCUUCUUCUCUUCGUCAAUGGUAUGGAGCCCAAUGGGCCAUGGCGUCCGCCCCACAACUUGGGGGGUCUCGACGCUCUUGUCCGCGACGCGAUCGCCCGUCAAACAUGGGCUGUCCCUGGAUUCAUCACUAAUAGUGAUUGGGUCGCCCUCUCCCCCCAACUUGGGCGACUCGGGGGCUCCCUCCUAACCUUCGGGGCGAGCCGUUUCACCCUGACCAGGGGGCGGUGAGACGCUUUUCGAGACAUUACCCCACUCCGAUGGAUGAGGUGGGGCAUCAUCACCACCAUCGGGCAGUCGAGAGUCAGGAGAACCUAUAUACGUCCCAAACCAAGCGUUAGUCAUGAGGAAUCUCUAUGUUGAGCAAAAUCGACCAAGAAAGAAGCCAGUCACUUACUCAGUGCCUUGGAACUCGCACCCACCUUGAGCCUCUUAGCCAUUGAAGGUUGGGCCUGCUCUAACUGCCUCUUCAGCAUGAGCAGGAGAGAAAGGAUCUAAAAUGGUGGGUGCUGACGGAUGAAUGAAACAACAAAGACAGAAUUGUGGUAUGAAGAUCUUACCCCACAGGGAGGACGACCCUCCUACCGGUCCCACGGCCAGCAGGCCUCGAGCCGCCGCCCAUCGAGGCCCCCGGUUUCUCGAGGGCAGGAGCGGGCCUCGGCUCCACUCUCCCCGCCUGACGAUCCUCAGGACUAGCGCUCCUCCGACACCCUCCUCCCUGGCUCGAGGCCACCGUGGCAGCACGGCCUCGAGUCAGCGACCCAUUGCCGAGGUUUUGACCCUACAGCCCGUGCCUGACGCUUAAGGGGGUCGUGGCGGAAGAAUAGCCUGACCUUGUGUGGUGGUAGGGGGCGUGUCGACGCGUGAACGGCGAGGUGACGCCUUUUUUGGCACCGGUCACGGUCUCCACCUUUCGGCUCUUUCGAAGCCUCCGCACGCGACGAAGAAACAUCAGCCCGCGGUAGGCCUUGCAGGACCCGGUCGAGGUGAGCCGCCAUCCCCUCGGAGUCAUCGUCAUCGUCGUCAUCAUCACCGCCAUCGUCUUCAUUCGGAGAGUCCUCCUCGGGCACUCCCUCACGCCGCACCUUGGCUCGACGUUCCUCGAGCACCUGCCGCUCGAGGUUCUUCCUCUUCUCUUUCUUUUUUUCUGCAUCUUACACAGAUUUGUGCUUCUCCAGCAGAGGCGCGUGUUGACACUUGCUAACACCACUUGAAUACUAGGUUGUCAUCCCCAGCAUGGCACUAGAGUGUACUAUGGUAUUUAUACGCACACAGAUAAUCCGCAAGCGCACGGAUACCGUUAUAGCAUUUUACCCGGUUAAAGGUUUUAUCGUAUCCACAUGGAAACGGGGGAACCAACUACGCUAUAACUUAACCAAGAUAAAUAGAUAAGUGUAAAUAGGAAAGAUGGUAGAAUUAAAUAAGAACAAUAUUAAAGGUAAGAUAACAAUGGGUGAUAAUAUGGGAAUAGAGAGUAGAGCAAUUCUAGUAUAUGGGCGAUGGUAGCAGAAUAGAGAGGAUAACUAUGGUUUGUCUACUUCAAAGGGGUAUGUCUAUGUCUAGGACAAACCACGUGAUAAGAGUACACCACAAAGGAUGCUUAUCCUUAGGCCGAUAAACCCUACCCGUCCUGCUAACGAGAGGUGGACUACAGAGGACCAACGUAACUGUCACCUACGCGGCCUACCACAUGAUCCAGCUAGACAGGGGAUAUCCACAAGUAAUCUAGGUCUAAGCACCUCGCUUACACCUAUACUACAACUCUAACCUAUAGCGUCCUAUAGAUUAAAGUACUCAAAAGAGUUGUGAACCAGAGCAUACAUGAUUAGUAAUUGCAUAAUGAAUUAGAAGUAGAUUACCAGAGUCAUCCCAUGAGCAAGCUUGAUUAGAGCUUGAUCAUGAUGAAGUACAACCGGAGGAAGAACCGACAGGCCGGCCACUCCUCUAAUCCUCCUUCGCUCUCCAUCUUGCUACUAUCUAGAUCUACUCUAGUUUAGAGAAGAGAGGAGAGCUCUUAUCUCUAAACCCUAGCUUUUGCUCUGUCUAUGAAUAUUGAAUAAUGAUCAAGGGGUGCCUCCUCCAGGGGCCAGGGGGUCUGGUUAUAUAGUCCCCUCAAGUGAACCUGGGCCGUUGGAUCAAACCGACAUUGAUUGGACGGUUAUCCUUGAUCCUUUAGGUCGGAAACAGAGUCCUGAUUGGGCUCCAAUAGAGGGCAGGCGCCCAGGAAAGGAGGGCGGGCGCCCUGCCUCUGGCCCCGUUUCGCCUCCGCUUCGGUCUCGUGGCUUCUGGAGUCUUCUAGAUGUAAGAUAAUUACGCGGCACGUUAAUAUCUCUAUGUAAUCCCGACGUGUGGGCCUUUCUUCCGUAUUUCCUGAUAACCCCUUGCAGAAAUAGACAAACACCAAAACUCGUGGAAUACUGUCAGAUAAAACCCUAAGUCUAGAUGUUGAUUUCAUUUGGAUCCUUUUCUUUGUUUAUUUGAUAAUUAAAUUUGAUACUUAAGGACCGUCAACAAACUCCCCCAAGCUUACCUCUUGCUCGUCCCUGAGCAAGGAUAGUCUCAGCAAUGGACCAGAAGUUGUUGCAAUAUCUUAAAAAUUUGACGGUACACAUGCUUUUAAAUAAAAUCUCAUCUCUGAGUUAGAGUAAACUGUCAAGAACUAAAACUAACUCACUUUACCUUUCACCAUGGGACUUGUAACCGUCACUUCUGUCUUGAGUAGUUAAAAGAUAGAACAGUCUAGCCAAGUGCCAUGUCUCUUAUUCUUGAUCAGCUAUAGCUCUGGAGUUUUUGUAGAUUUUCAAAUAAAACUUAGAGAUUCCUUGUAUGAGACUCUAAAUCUCUCUUUUGUGGUAUUUUUGGAUUCUUACCAAGGCAGUGAUGGUAUAUGCCUUCUCUCAAGAUAUGUGGUAUUUGUGGUAUAAGGCAUAGUGACAUUGCCUUCUCUCUCACCCUACUCUAAUAAGUCUUUAAUAUCUGGAGCUCAUAGGUGGAAGAGAAAGUAUAGAUACUUACAAGACAUUUAUUGUAUAGUCAAACCAUGGAUCCAAAGAAACAAAUCAAUAAGCCAAAUCAAGAUGUGCAUAUGUGGUGAAUGAAUGGUGUAUGGUGAUGAUGGUGAUAACAAUGGUGAAAGUCUAAUUCUACUUUUGCUCUUUUGAGGGGAUACAUACCUUCCAUGCUUUUUGAAACUUUAUGAGGAGAAUGAGAUGCUCUUCUUUUUCUUUCCUCUCAGGUGGGUAUCUUGUACCCCUAAUUCUAAUGUCGGACACUUGUCCAUUUUUACCUCUCGUCUCACUUUUUCUUUCUUUCGAGGUUCCGGGCACUUGCCCCUUUUUAUUUCCUCGUUUAUUAUUUUUUUCUUCUUUUUUUUUAUUUUUUUUUUAGAGCACUCAUCUCUUGAGAUAAUAUAGCAAGUGGUAGUAGCAAGAUAACUUGAGCAUUUAUUUCACAAGGGAAAAUAAAAAUUUUUUUUGGCUAUUCUCUCCCGGAUUAGGAGUAGAAUAUUUUUGGGUGGUUCUGGAGAUGGACAUGGAUGGAUAUAUGUGGAUGGUACUUCCGGAGUAGAAGUAGCAUAUAUGAGUGAACGUGCAAGUGAAUCUUGAUUUAACCAUAUGACAAGCUCCUAAGGGUCUACACAGCUUGACCACACUCAAUGCUCACAAGCAGUAAAUAAUAAAUGUGUGGGUCAAAGUCUAGCAAGCAUGUAUAUAUGGCUGUGGUAGGAAUUUAAACUCUCAUCAUACAGGAACUCAUCAUGCAAUAUUUUAAAGAUUUUUCAAAGAUAAAAUUCUCCAGAAUUCUAGCAUCUCUAGGAACAGAUAAACAGCAGCUCAACCUUCCCAUAUCAUAUCCGUUAACAACUUAGAUUUCAGAUCAAGUUUUCAUCCCACAAGUUUAGAUCUAGAGCAAGCUUUAAAUUAUAACAGUUAUGUCUAAACUUGAGAGAGAACUUCAAAUUUGCAAAUUAGGCAGAGCAACUAUUCAUCAUAUCCAUGCUAGAGUUUUAUUAUUAAGAUUCAGAUUAGUAUAGCCACUUUAUUUAUCUAUUAAACACAUUAAGCAAAAGAUAUAUAUAUAAGCACAAAAUCUUUAUUUAGUUUUUCAUAGUUUAUGUAUUUUAAUAUUCUAAUAUAAUAUAAGUAUAAAGAUAGGUAGAAAUACUUAGCGAGAUAAAUGGGGGUGCUCUCCCCCAAGCUGAAUUUUGACGUAAUUUCUCUUGAUGUAGCUAGCAGGUGGCAGAGGUGUAUUUGAAAGUCAGCAGCAUUCUGACAGCGAUUAGAAUGUCCUCCGUCUGCUAGUCUUCUUGAUUCUUAAAUUCUGUGGAGCUCAAAUAGACAACAAAGCUUGUGGAACUAAUUAAGUGUUAGCAUAAAUAUCUAGCCUUCAUCAUGUUGAGCUUCCUCAAUAAAUAUUACUCCCUGUUUUUAUAUUUUUAUUUUAUAAAGCAAAAAAGAAAUAUUUAUUUUAUUUUUAUGCCACCACAGUGAAGGUACUUAUGGGUUUUAUGCCACUCGUAUACUCACAUGGGGCUUAGUAUUUUUUUAACAUUUUUAUUUUCUUUUCAAGAUAGCAUGAUUAACUAAUAAUCUAUUUAAGGAAAGUAAAUAAUUAAACUGAAAAGGGAAUGCAGAAAGGAUAAAUAUGGAUAACUACCGAUCUUACCUUUUGGCGAGGGUUCAAUGUUUUAAGUCUUCAUAACAAGACUUCUCACCAUAUUCAUUCUUCAGGUGCGUCAUUUGAUUCAGGUGCGGACCUUGAUGUCUACACCUCUUCGUUUGCCCAGCAGUUCGAAGUGCGGUGUUGGCAGUAUCCUGCUCAGUGUGUUUGUGCUCAUAGAUCCAGGUCCUUCACUUGGUAGAGUCUGAGAGUUAUAAAACUCCUCCGUGUUUUGCUAAAAGUGUACCUACUCAUAGAGACAAGGCAGAGAUCAAGUGCAUGGGUCCUGUUGGUGGAAAACACCAACAGAACCUAAAGUGUUUUUGUUCUUCUCUAACCCUAAGCAUAAUGAGCAAGACAAAGUUGAUGGAUGAAAAGUUCAUGAGUGUAGCACUUAUAACAUUUGUCAGAUCAGAUCGCUCAACCUUAUGGAAAGAUAAUCUAUCUAUGUAUAUGUCUUUUUCUUUAUAUCUCUCAAUGAUUGAAUGUGUAACAUUUUAGCUCAUAUGAUUAGGAGUGUGGGAUCAUGGAGGUAGUACUAAGAACAAGGAUUAAAGGACUAAACAUGUGUGAAUCAGUUGGGUUGGUUAAUCUAGAGUUUGUAAAUCAACAUGUUUGCCUCUUUUAUUUAUAUGAACGCCAGAACCAAGGAGAAGCUUAUAAAAGUGAUAGUCAUGUACCUUAAGGUGUUACCUUACUUGAAGAGUGAUGGUGUAGUAUCACCUCGUGGAAGCUUUCCUUUCUUAGUGGUUGUGCAUCGUGUUUGUGGCACCCUCCAUGGAUCAUCUCUCUAUGAUGAAUGAGCUAUAUCCUUCUUGUGCAAAUUGUUAAACUUCAUGUGUCACUCUCUUCGUCUCUGAUGUGAGUUUAUCUCAGGAUUUCCCAAAUCGAUAUUGAAAGUUUUUCUACAGGGGUUAGUCCGGCAAAAAUAUAUCAAUGUCUACACAAGCAGUUUUUAGUUCAAUAACCGAACUAGACUCCAUGUCUAAUCAGAUUAAGGAAGGCUGUUUAACCUAAGCACCAUGCUUAAUUUAAAAGCCAAUAGAAGUAUGUGCAGUACUUCCAAACUAACACUUACUAGUAAAUAGACAAAGGUAGCAUGACAGCAUUUAUAGAGAUCUACUCAAGUGGAGAUGAAGUAGUGUGAUUAGUAUUUAACAAAUUGAGCAUGUCUUAAAGAUAGGGACAACCAACAUAGCAACAUGGCAAAGGAUGUUUUUAUGUAAAGUACUCCCCCGAGCUUGAAUUUUGCAGAAUUCAAGUUUGGAUGAAUUUAAUUCAGUGUUGCAUGAUGAUUGGUUGGACAUACCUUGUACUUGCUUGUCAUUCAUCCGAUCUUCUUGCUCCAAUCAUGGAAAGGUUAGUGACAAGAAUACCCGAAGGAAUAUUUUUACAAUUAUCCUUAUAUGCUCAAUACACAAGGUAAUGUUGCAAAUAAUUAAAAACUCAUGUUACGAUCUGAUCAGUGCUUAUUUUAGGACACCAAGCUUGUCCUUGGGAAACCAUCAAUUUAUGUCAGCGAAGUGGUUUCCCUUCCAACGCUGACCUAUAUCAAGAUCAACUCAACGAGAUCUGCAAUAUUUAUUAUAGACAUAUGCAUCGACAACCGCCCUUUUAAAGUUUUUAUAAAUAGAAAGGAAGAGGGGGUUGGAGAUCUCAAAUGUGGUGAUGUUGGAGAGACCAAUAGAUUGGGAAGAUGUUGCAUAUGAGCACGGAGUAAACAAAGUGGCUAUGAAAUAAAUUCCAUGCUCAUUAAUGUUAUCUUCGUCUCCAAUCUGAAUGUUCAGAGUUUCUCUUGGAUUGGUCUCACUUAUGUCCUCUUCUAUAGUUGGAUGAAUCCCAUCUUCAAAGAGAGUCAAGAACUCACCAUUUGAAAUUGAACCAAAGUCAGAAUUCAUUAAGACUUCUUCCUUAUCCAUCCAUUCUACACAUUCUAGCCAUUUAGAACUUGUGAUCAUGAAAGGGGAGGUGUUAGAAUUUUCAAUAUGGCUUAGCUCUCCUUCUAUGGCAUUACUUGAUAUGUCAUCCUCGACUUCUUCAUAAUAGGAACCAGGACAUUCUCUAGGAGAACCAUUAUUGCGAGGAUUUGAAUUAUCCCUGCUUGAAGGUCUCUUAUGGAACCAGAAGUCUAAACCAUCAACAUCUGAAAGAUUUAAGGUCGGAAUUCCUUCCUCCCUUGGAGAAUUUUGGGGUAUUGAUGGUUUAGGAUCGAUAGCUAAAGUUUGGAAUUGAAGUGGUUGUGAUCUGGCUAUCGAAACUUCUUCUUCUUGUCUAGGAACUAGUUCUUUCUCUUUCUCAGGGAUAUAAAAGCUAGGAGACUUUCCGCUCAAUGAAUCAAUCAAAUUCCAAGCUUCACUAGCAGGUAGGUGAUAGAAGGAUCCUCUAGAGGCUGUAUUCAAGGUUUGCUUAUUUUCCCCACUAAGGCCCUCAAAAAAGUGAAUUAGAAGAACUUCUUCUGGAAUAGAAAGCUUUGGGCCAGUGAGAGUAAGGUUAAUAAAGAGGUCCCAUGAUUUCCUAAGAGAUUCUUCUUCCAGUUGUCUAAAAGAAAUAAUCUCACGCUGAAGUUCCGCCACUUUAGAGAUUGGAAAAUAUUUUAAAAGAAAACUAUUAUGUAACUCCUUCCAAUCUCCAUGAACACUCCCUACUUUGAGUUUGUACCAAUGUCUAGCUUUUCCCGUUAAAGAGAACGGAAAGAGCUUCCAUUUAAGGGUCUCAUCGUACAUUCCUUCUAUGCGAAGGAGGUCACAGACUCGAUAAAACUCUCUUAGGUGUGUGUAUGGGUUUUCCUCACCUUCUCCUGAAAAAGGUUGUUUUUGAACAAAUUCUAUAUAUUCGGGGUCUAUCUCAAAACUAGAUGCUAUGAUAGGCUUUGAAGAUUUUGGUGGUUCGAGAUGUGUGCCCGUAGGUCUGUGAAAUUCAUAGAUAGACAUGUUUGAAUUCAUGAUAGACCAGAGAUCAAGGAUUAGAGAAGAAGAAAGAUUAGCAGAGAUGAGGCAAAGGAUAAAAGGAAGUUUUGUUUUUUAGAAAAUGAUUAAGCUAGUUCGUAGUCAACUCAGCAACCGUUUCCCCGGCAACGGCGCCAAAAAUGCUUGUUGACACUUGCUAACACCACUUGAAUACUAGGUUGUCAUCCCCAGCAUGACACUAGAGUGUACUAUGGUAUUUAUACGCACACAGAUAAUCCACAAGCGCACAGAUACCGUUAUAGCUUUUUACCCGCUUAAAGGUUUUAUCGUAUCCACAGGGAAACGGGGGAACCAACUACGCUCUAACUUAACCAAGAUAAAUAGAUAAGUGUAAAUAGGAAAGAUGGUAGAAUUAAAUAAGAACAAUAUUAAAGGUAAGAUAACAAUGGGUGAUAAUAUGAGAAUAGAGAGUAGAGCAAUUCUAGUAUAUGGGCGAUGGUAGCAGAAUAGAGAGGAUAACUAUGGUUUGUCUACUUCAAAGGGGUAUGUCUAUGUCUGGGACAAACCACGUGAUAAGAGUACACCACAAAGGAUGCUUAUCCUUAGGCCGAUAAACCCUACCUGUCCUGCUAACGAGAGGUGGACUACAGAGGACCAACGUAAGUGUCACCUACGCGGCCUACCACACGAUCCAGCUAGACAGGGGAUAUCUACAAGUAAUCUAGGUCUAAGCACUUCGCUUACACCUAUACUACAACUCUAACCUAUAGCGUCCUAUAGAUUAAAGUACUCAAAAGAGUUGUGAACCAGAGCAUACAUGAUUAGUAAUUGCAUAAUGAAUUAGAAGUAGAUUACCAGAGUCAUCCCAUGAGCAAGCUUGAUUAGAGCUUGAUCAUGACGAAGUACAACCGGAGGAAGAACCGACAGGCCGGCCUCUCCUCUAAUCCUCCUUCGCUCUCCAUCUUGCUACUAUCUAGAUCUACUCUAGUUUAGAGAAGAGAGGAGAGCUCUCAUCUCUAAACCCUAGCUUUUGCUCUAUCUAUGAAUAAUGAAUAAUGAUCAAGGGGUGCCUCCUCUAGGGGCCAGGGGGUCUGGUUAUAUAGUCCCCUCAAGUGAACCUGGGCCGUUGGAUCAAACCGAUAUUGAUUAGACGGUUAUCCUUGAUCCUUUAGGUCGGUGGAGAUCUCCCCCAAAACAGAGUCCUGAUUGGGCUCCAACAGAGGGCGGGCGUCCAGGAAAGGAGGGCGGGCGCCCUGCCUCUGGCCCCGUUUCGCCUCCGCUUCGGUCUCGUGGCUUCUGGAGUCUUCUAGAUGUAAGAUAAUUGCGCGGCACGUUAAUAUCUCUAUGUAAUCCCGACGUGUGGGCCUUUCUUCCGUAUUUCCUGAUAACCCCCUGUAGAAAUAGACAAAUACCAAAACUCGUGGAAUACUGUCAGAUAAAACCCUAAGUCUAGAUGUUGAUUUCAUUUGGAUCCUUUUCUUUGUUUAUUUGAUAAUUAAAUUUGAUACUUAAGGACCGUCAACAACGCGCCUUUUCUCGCGCUCCACGUCAUCCUCCUUCACUGGAGGCUUUGAGGACCGAACAUCGAUCGCCCCUUGGUAAAACAAGCACAAGUCUCAGGAAUAUUGGAAAGGAAAUAGCGAAACCAAGAACAAGGGUCGAAUGACAAUAACUCGAGGGGCUUACCAGAUCGUAGUAACCUUCCUCAGACUUCAUGGGGAAGCCGUUGACCUGCUCUGGCUAGAAAUUGCCUAAAACGGCUGCCCUAACCCUGGUGGCGACCUCCUCGUCCAGGAGCGCCUCGUUAGACGUUCGACAUGCCUCGAGAUCCCGAAACGGAACGCGGGGAGCCAUCUCAUCCAGUCUCUGGUCCAGACAUCAACGAGAGCACCCGUCGAUGGUGGACCGCCAAGAGAACGAGUGCGGCGUCUUGACAAUGCCGUAGUUCCAACUGUGCGGGCGCUCUGAGAUCAACCGCCCGGUGUAGGCAGGGAAGGGUCCAUCAUCGUUGUGGAGAUAAAACCACUAAGAGUCCCACUGGGCAUGGUUGGACGUCAGCCCAGUGGGGAUGUAAUCUCGAGGCCCUUUCGCAUGGCCCAUCUUCUGGACUAGGUUGAGGCAGCCGGCUCGCACCGGCUUCCUCACCCCAGCGGCUCCACUAGGAGCACGGAACAGCUCGCCUCGGUAGAGGUGGAGCCACAAGUCCCAAUGCAGCAUCACCCCCAAGUAGCCCUCACACAACGCAGCAAAGAUUGCCGUGGUGGAGAUAGCAUUGGGGGAAAAGUGUCAGAGCUCGAUGCCGUAGUGGUGGCAGAGCGCCCUCGUGAAGCGGCUCGGAGGAGAUCCUAGCCCGUGGCGGUGGAAAUUGGUGAAGGAGACGACAUAGCCCUCCGGCGGGUUUGGUUCUCGGUGCUCCACUGGCGGCGUGAUCCACUCAGGCUGCGUCGAGGAAGCAUGGGGGCACAGGAGGCCCUCCUUCUCAAAGUCCCGUAACCGGCGCUCCAUCAUGGUCGACGGGCGCCACUCGUCGGCGGCAAUCCUCAUCGGCAUCUUGCAGGGUGGUGAAAGGCGACUAUACAAAUAUCUCCACUCAAGAAUAUGUUGUGUCACAGGUGCGCAAGAAGGUGUAGGGAGAGCAGGAGCAAUGACAAUGGCGGAAUGCGGAAGGGACGACAGCCGGGCGGAGCUCCGAUAUUUAUAAGCAUGCCGUAACGGGCGGAUCCUACAAUCACGGUAACCUCCUCAAUGAAUGCGCCGCCUAGCAGUCUUAUUUUCCUAUGGCAGGGCAUUAUAGAUUCCACCAACGGAACAGCGUCGUAGCGGCUCCCUCCUAAAAAGGCGCGCACAACGGACAAGAAAGUGAACCGCCACAACUCUUCCUUCUGUCACAAGGUAAGACGGGCGUGUGCCACCAUAAGAACCUCGAGGGAGCAUAGACCAGCCCACCGGAUGGGUUCGAUGGUCGCCCUCGAGUACCCGAGUCAGGGGCACCCAUUGAGAGGUCGAAACAAGGCAUACCUCGAGGACUCCCUGGGAGUAUCCAAGGCAGAGGCAAGAAGGUCGAGAGGAAUCCCCAGAGAGGGAGGCGUCGAGCCGCUGGACUCUAUCGAAUGAGACUAGUAUCCUCCACCACACUAGCCUGGCUUUAAUGAGAGUGCCUCCAGGCUGCAGCCAACCCUAUCGAACUGGGCAUGGGUUCUCGCUUGGAUCACCCGAUAAAAGCUCACCCAAGACGAUGAUGCUCGCUCCAUCGGGGGUACAUCACGCUCCUAGCCCCAAAGGGGUAAAACCAGCCAAUGAGGGUCGGAGGUUCCCUCCCAGAACGAAUGCCCCUUAGCGAAAAGGGAAGUCGAGAAUGGUCAGGUCUAGAAGAGCAAUAUAGCCCUCAAAGGAGUCCAAGAAUCCUUCAAGGCCUCGGGGGCUACCCCCGCGGGGGUCGCUCGCGCGACCCCCAUGGAAACUCGACCAUCAGAAGAACAAUUGCUCGAACACAAGUGCUCGAACUGGGGCUCGGGGGCUACUGUCGAGGAUGUCAAUAGGGGGUACCCCACCCAACACUCACAAUGAGAAGAUUCACAAACAAUUUGAGGCUCAGGCUCAACGUUCCAGCAUAAAUACGGGAUCACUAAAGUCGCUGUUCGAACGAGGACACGACAUUGACCAUAGCCUCGAAUACAGAAACAAGGUCGAGCGAAUCAGCAAGGGCUUGAUAGCUAGCGACCGUCGAUUACGGAAAGAGCGUCGAGCGAAUCGACAAGCCUCGAGCACAAAAGCGCUCCCAGCCGCCUGUCGCGGGUAUGGGAGCCAGAGCAUUAAAUGCGACUGCCAUGCUCCCACCUAACCCGAUAGUCACGGGAAGCGUGAUACGGGAACAAGCACCCAUCAAAUCUCUACUUUUUAUUGCUUUAUCCUCAAGAUUGGAGAAAAGUACAAACUGCCAUAGUGCAGCAGGCGUAAUAUCCCAUCACGACCCCCUCGAGAUGUUAAAGGUCAGCGCUCCUACAUCACAAAGCCGCCCAUGGCACCUCACCUUCGAGCAGGCACAAUCCAUCCCAGGGAAGGAUCGAGCGAUGGAAGUCAGUGCUUCAACCACUCUAGACAUGACUACUGCCACAACAUACAGGCAUGCUCGUACCUAAGCCAAUACCAGACAAUGUAUAGGAGUUGAAUUUAGGGAACGCACGCGCCAUCAUCACCAAAGUACCCCGUAACAAGAUGGCUCGAGGACACACCGGUACGGAUGCCUCGAGUAGGUCAGCGCCAUACCCCUAUUGAGGCCUACUCAAACACCUACACCCUGUAACCUAGGUCUCCCCUUGAACUAUAAAAGGGGACGCUGAGGACGAAAUCAAAAGAGACAUCCAAGACAUCUAGAAUACACGAUCCACAUACCACCACAACCGGCUAGGACUUAGAACCCUCAGCUACAUUUCACUUGUAUUCGCUCGUGUACAAGCACUUAUGUGCAAGAUAAUACACACUCCCCCCGCUGGACGUAGGGCCUUCUUUUGCCUGAACUAGGAUAAAUCUUUGUGUCACUCUUGCAUAACCAUUUGAAAAAGGGAGCACGCAUACAAAUUCACUCGUCGGUGUUACCCCCCGGGGGCAAAAUACUGAUAGUUCUAUACAAGAAAGUAAACUAUUCUAGUUUGCACGAAUGUAAGGGAGAGGAUUUGAUCUUUAUAUUUCUGCAUAGUGUAACAGAACCGUCCAAAUUAUAAGAGAUUAAGCCUAAUAGUGACCAUUUGCACAGUCAAACCAUCGAGCUUAAACCCAUAUAAUCCCGGUAGUCCGUGAAAUCUCGAGGGAUUUCGAACCACAAUUCGUACAUACAACCAAGAUCGUAAUAAGUUCAGCGGCCACCAUUCACAAUUACAUCCAGUUCACAAACAUUCAUCAAAUACAUCGGAGUGCUUAAAAUUAUUACAAACCAAGUUCUCAAGUAGCGGAAGCUUCAUAGUUUGAAAGUAACACACACACAAAUUCAUUUUGAUACAGUGGCAUAGUUUGGUUAUUCCCGCAAAAGCAAAAGAGAAGAUAGAGUGACCAUCGCCCUUGGUCUAGUCAUCGCCCAUGGCUGGGUACAGGCAGAGGAUGCAAUAACCAUAGUACAUUUGACCAUCUGCAAAACAACAUGGGAAUUGAUAAUAUCAUUACCUAUUAUCUAGGUUUGCACCUGUACUAUUACAAGCAAGUGUAGUAAUAUGAUGGUACCUCAUCAUAGCAUUCAUAAAUCAUUUAUCAUCAUAACCCAAGUGUUCCAUAAUCCUUACUACGACGACGAAGCUCAUGUCAAGUGCUCACUAUCCAGGAGCGAUGGCAAUUCGAAUCGAUUUCUAACCAACUGGCGAGUUAUUCCCCACACAAACCACACUCACUGAUCAAGUGAGCUACAAAUCACCGUGUUACACUAUCCAGGACCAAUUCGCGGGUUCGGCAGGCACCGCCAGUACCCGAGGACCGUUCCGGCGACCGAGGUAUCCAAUGUAUACCAAGGUUGCGCGCCGCUCCCUUGUCGUUCUCCUCAACCAUCACCAAUACAGCGCAUGGCGGCUCGACUCCCGGGCCGGAUAGUGUUCAGGCUUUGCGGUCAGAACGACUUAUCCUUCCAGCUAAGUGUGGGGCAUGCAUUCAACAUGACAAGAGGGCCGUCAACGAUCGGUCCUUAAUCGACACAGGCAGGGGCACUAUGAUGAACCCACCACAAGACCCUGCCCGGUCUCAAAUUCCUUUCCACACUUGGUUAUUCUUCCCCAUAGCAAUUACAGCUAAUCAAACAGGUGUCCACCUAUAUCUCGUAGGUGACAGGAAAUCACCCAACUUCUACCGGACUAAGCAAACUAAGCAUGGACUCCGUACCUAUCUACAUAGGACAAGGUAGAUAAACAAGUGGUGAUAUCAAGGAGUACUUAUGCAUCAACGGUAUCAAGCAAUUCCUAUCAAUUAAAUGCAACAUCGUAGAACAGGCAUAAUAUAUCAUUUAAGUUAGCGAGAAUAGGGAGACUUAGAAUGCUCCGGGACUUGCCUUUCUCAAACAUGCUCGGUCUGUGGUCCGGGCACUCCUGCAGCUCCUCUCCGGGCUCUGGUCCUCCCAGAGGUUUCUGCUCCUGGGUCUCCUCUUGCUCCUCGGGUCCCACCUCGUUCUCCUGCGAGUCUGUAUGAUGCAUGUGUGCUUAUGAGUGGAGUGUGAGAUGCCCGAGAUGCGAAUGCUUAUGUAAGUGGGUAGCAGAUGACUAUGUGGUGCAUAGACGAUAUAAGCUGUCACUUUUGCAAGGUAGUCAACAUCAUCCAAGAAUAUGAAAUUGAACUAAACAUCCAUUACAUUCUCUUCUACAAGCUAUCUUCAAGGUUAACCAGAAAGCUCACAUGAUGCUUUAAAGAUACACCAAACAACCUUUUAUUCUAUCUAAUUCAUACACAACAAUUUUUAUUUUAUUUACUCACUUUUCGGACCUACAAAAGUAGCAUAUAUCUCUGUUUAAUAAUAAAUUCCACAAAAAUUACAGUAGACUACUAGUCAAUCAUAAAGUUUACCAUAAAUUUUUCAUAAUAUUUGGACAUUUAUUUUGGACUACAAAAAUUACAAGAUUAAUCUAUAUAAGCAAGUAUAAAUACCCUACUGUGGUAUAAGUGUCAAACAACAGAUUUCAUAUUUUUAUAAUUAACUUAUUAACAUAAGAAACACCCACAAAAAUUUCCAGAUUAAUUGCAUGAUCCAUUUAUUUAUUAAAACUCAUAAACCACUGCCAUGCAAGCAUUUAAACCACCACAUAUUAAUUCACACAGCAAUUAAUGUGUAACAUAUUUUUCCCAGAGCCUAAUCGUCCAUACCAAGCCAACAAAACAAGUUUCAUAUUUCUCUGAGCUAUAUAUUUAAUUACUAUGCCUUUUCCAAUUUUCAUCAAAAACAUGGAUAAAUACAAUUGUACAGAAAAGUUGUUCAAACAUGACAUGCAACCACACCAAGCUAUAGAUCUGGAAUUACAGAGUUCAUCAAACUUUAUUUCAUAAAUUUUGGAGCUGUAGAACUCAAGUUAUGAAAUAUACAAGAUUUAAACAAAUUCUGAAAAACCUUUAUUUAAGAAAAACCGACGGAAAACGCUAGAUCCACCCAGAUCCACACCCGCAGAGGCGCUGACAGGUGGGAUCCAGGGGUCGUGGCCCCACGGGUCAGCCACGCCGUACUCCGGCCGACUUCGGCCGGCCGGCUCUCGCCGACGGCGAGGUCUCCGGUGGUGCGGAGGGCACCUACGGCUUCGUCUCGAUGAGACGAACACGUUGAGCUAACUCUCAUCGACGGUGGAGGUCCCUAGCGGCAGCUAUGGCGUACGGCGGAGCUCGGUGGCGCUGCUCACCGGCGUCCGGCCGUCUCCGGCCGAUAGAGCGCGAACGGAGGGGUGCUUAGGGUUCGCGGGAGCACGAUGACCACAACGCGCAAACAAACGAAGAGAAAGGAGGUCGAGAAGGGAAGAUCCGCGCGGACCGAGAGCUCGCCGUAGCUCCGGCCAUGUCGCGGCGGUGAAAUCUCACCUAUUACCUUGACGCGGACGGCCGAGAGCAUGCGCACGAGGUUGCGCUCGUCGAGGCGGAGCUAGGGGUGGGUUUAAUCGAGCGCGUGUGACCGGAGUUGGGAGCUGGGCUUCGGCGCCAAUGGCGCACGGCGGAGCGCCGCCGCGGCCGCUGCUUGCUGCUCGCACGGGGAGGAAGAAGAGAGAGAAGCGGGGAGACAGAAUGGCACGUUGGGGCACGGGGAGCCGUCCCGACCGGGGUAAGCCGGUCGGCCGCGACGCGUCCACGACGCCGGCCUACGGCCGCCACGUGGCCGGCACCGGGUGGAGCGAGGCGGGCGCCCGCGCGCGGGAGAGAGGGGAGGGGAAGCCGGGCUGCGUGGCUUCGCUGGGCCGAAAGGGAGGCGGGUCGGCCCAGCAGCGCCUGCCCCUUUUCUUUUUUUUGAAUUUCUUUUCCUCAAAAAGUUUAAAUGAGACUUUUGAAGCUUUUACAAAACUUUUUAGGGGCUAGAGUAAAAAGAAGAAUUGCUCCCCAUAAAAUUCCCUACAACUUUGUUUUAAUAAGCAAAGCCAAAUUCCAAAUAAAAUUUGAAUCACAGAUUAAAACUAGUUCUAGGUUUUUAAAUAAAUCUAUUUUGGGAAUUUUUGUAUAAAAUCAAUUUCUCAAUUUCUAUAGCUCCAAAAAUAUCACCAAUUUACUCUUAAAUCUUCUAACACUUAUUUCAACCUAAUUUGGGCAAUUCAAGAAUUUAGAAGAAAGCAUAAUAUUUUUACUAUAUUUAAUUCACAUAAAAUAAAGCACAUGAAAUCACAGUUGAAUGAAUGACAUGCUUAUGCAAUGCUAUGCUUGAUGAUAAUGCUUGUGGAUGAGUUUAUGAGACUAAGUGCAUGCUUAACACCUAGGGUGUUACAGCCCUUCCCCCCUCAGGGAAAUCUCGUCCCAAGAUUUGGGUUACUAACCAUUUCUUAUGAAAUUUUGGGUAAACUGUUUUUAGGUAAUCCUCGGUUAUCCCAUGUAGCAUCCCUAUCAUCAUGAUCACUCCACACCACCUUGUAAGUCUUGACAACUCUAUUCCGGGUUACCGCUCCUUGGUAUCUAUGAUACCCACUGGUUGUUCCUUGUAUUCCAAAUCUGCCUUUUUCUUGAUUCCGCGGGGUUCAAUCCUCUGCUCGGGUACUUUCAAACAUCUCCGCAGCUGCGACACAUGGAAGACUAGGAAGAUUGAACUUAACUCUUAAGGUAACUGAAUCUUGUAGGCCACAGGGCCUUUCCUUUCUAGUAUCUGAUAUGGUCCCACAUAUCUGGGUGCAAGCUUGCUUCGAGCUCGGAAACGCUGAACUUUCUUCAUGGGCGUAACCUUGAGGUAAACAUAGUCACCUAUAUUGAAUUCGAGCGGCCUUCUUCUCUUAUCAGCAUAACUCUUUUGUCGCAAUUGUGCCGCCUUCAUAUGCUGCUGUAUGAUUUGCACCUUUUUCUCAGCCUUGUUCACGAAGUCGAUACCAUAGUAUCUCCUUUCACUCGGUUCAACCCAGUUUAACGGAGUUCUACACUUACGACCAUAAAACGCUUCGAACGGAGCCAUCUUGAUACUCUCUUGAUAGCUAUUAUUGUAUGAGAACUCAGCCAAAGGCAACCAUGAUUCCCAUGAUCCUUUGGAUGAUAACACACAAGCCCUCAGCAUAUCUUCGAGCACUUGAUUGAGUCUUUCCGUUUGACCCGAGGUUUGGGGAUGAUACGCUGUGCUUCUUAUCAGACUAGUCCCCAAACUCUUAUGCAUUCGCUCCUACAAAUGAGCAGUGAACUGCGGUCCUCUAUCUGAUAUGAUGGUCUUAGGAAUACCAUGUAGCUUGCCGAUCUCUGCCAUGUAUAUAUCCGUAUACUCAGGAGGUCUGUACGUGUUCUUAACUGGAAUGAAAUGAGCCGACUUGGUCAAUCGAUCUAUGAUUACCCAAACCGAGUCAUUCCCCUUUCGUGUUGUCAGUAAACCCGUGAUAAAGUCCAUAGUGACCUCUUCCCAUUUCCACUCUAGAAUUGACAACGGUUGCAACAUGCCUGCAGGUUUCAUAUGUAUAGCCCUGACUCUACAACACGUGUCACAGCGGGCCACAUAUGCUGCUAUUUCCUUCUUCAUUUUGGUCCACCAAAAGUGAGAUCUUAGAUCUUGAUACAUCUUACUACUACCAGGAUGAAUAGAAAGCUUGGAGAGAUGUGCUUCAUCCAUGAUGCGGUUCUUCAAUUCUCGAUUCUUCGGGACCACCAACCGGUGUUGAAACCAUAAUACCCCUUUUUCAUCAACUCAGAACUGUGUCUUUGGGUCGUUUUUGAUCUUUUCUUUGAUAUGGAAAAUACCCUUGUCUGUUCUCUGACCCUCGAUGACUUCACUUUCAAGUGAACAACUGAGUUGUAUGUGACAUAAGACUUCAGGAUGCAUGAGAUUGAACCCAUCCUCAAACAACGGUUGAACCACUUGAUAGUGCUGUUUGCGACUCAAAGCGUCUGCUACCACAUUAGCCUUGCCCGGAUGAUAAUGGACUUCCAGAUCGUAAUCCUUGAUCCGCUCUAACCAUCUUCGUUGCCUCAUAUUCAGCUCAUACUGAGUGAAGAUGUAUUUCAAACUUUUAUGAUCUGUGUAAAUAUGACACUUGUUUCCCAGCAAAUAGUGCCUCCAGAUCUUCAGAGCGUGCACCACUGCUGCUAACUCAAGGUCGUGAGUUGGGUAGUUGACUUCAUGCUUUCUCAAUUGUCGUGAAGUGUAAGCUAUAACUCUGCCAUCUUGCAUCAGCACACAUCCUAAACCACUUUUUGAUGCGUCGCAAAACACAUCAAAAGGCUUCUCGAUAUUGGGUUGCGCUAGAACGGGAGCGGUGGUCAGCAACUUUCGCAAGGUGCGGAAGGCUAGUUCACACCCUUCCGUCCAGACAAACUUAUGACCCUUUUGUAGCAAACUGGUCAUUGGCUUAGCAAUCUUGGAAAAGUCAGGUAUGAAACGAUGGUAAUACCCGGCUAGGCCAAGAAAGCUUCGAACUUCCGAGACAGAAGUUGGUGCCUUCCAGUCCAUAACUUCCUGUACCUUUGAUGGAUCCACAACAAUCCCUUCUUCAGACAGAAUAUGCCCUAGGAAAGGAACUUUCUUCAGCCAGAACACACACUUGCUGAACUUUGCAAAUAACUGAUGCUCUCGCAGUCGUGUUAGCACGACUCUUAGAUGCUCGACAUGAUCUUGCUCAUUCUCUGAAUAAACCAGAAUGUCAUCGAUAAACACCACAACAUACUUGUCUACCUCUGGCAUAAAGACCGAGUUCAUUAGAUACAUGAAGUAUGCAGGAGCAUUUGUCAAUCCAAAGGACAUGACAAGAUAUUCAUACAACCCAUAUCUGGUGGAAAAGGCAGUCUUCGGGAUAUCUUGCGGACGGAUCUUGAUUUGGUGAUACCCGGACCUUAAAUCUAUCUUGGAAAACACUCUGGCCUUGGACAAUUGAUCAAAUAGGAUAUCAAUCCUUGGCAAUGGAUACUUAUUCUUGAUUGUUACCACAUUGAGUGGACGAUAGUCCACGCACAUGCGCAGCGAUUGGUCCUUCUUUUUCACAAACAAUGCCAGACAACACCAUUCCGACGAACUUGGCCAGAUGAACCCUUUAUCUAACAACUCCUUCAGAUGAUUUUUCAACUCAGCGAGUUCAUUUGGCGGCAUCCGGUACGGCCUUCUAGAUAUCGGUGCGGUACCUGGUAUCAACUCGAUUGCAAACUCUACUUCCCUAUCUGGGGGAAGUCCUGGCAAUUCCUCAGGAAAAACAUUAGGGAACUCACAGACUACUGGGAUCUGUGGCAGAGGAACCACGUGCGUAGCACAUGAGAUGCUAGCAAAAUCAAAGCGACGGGGCAGAGGUACUUGAAAAGAUCCACUGCCCUGAGGUUCUCUGAGAGAUAACACCCUCUUUCCAGUAUCUAUGACCACAUCCCACUCUUUCAUCCAGUUCAUGCCCAUGAUAACAUCCAAAACUAACCCAGGCAUGACUACCAGAUUUACUCGAAACACCCGCUUACUUAUAUCCAAGGUUGCCCCUCGGACCACUCUAUUUGUCAACACAUCUGCCCCUGCUGAGCUGAUGCGAAAGCCAUAACCCAGAUCUGUAAUUGCUUGGUUAUGUUUUUGUGCAAAUGCUUGGCUCAUGAAUGAAUGCGAUGAUCCAGAAUCAAACAAAACAACUGCAAGAUGUUGGUUGACAGGGAACAUACCAGCUGUUACCUGUUCUCCUUCCGGAAUCUCCUCUAUCGAGGUAUGGUGCACUCGUGCUGGGUAGGUCAUCUGCUGCCUCUUGGGGUAGGGACAUUCCUUAGCAAAGUGUCGAGGGUAUCAACAAGGGGUACCCUCACCAACACAAAUAACGAGACCAUCCGUACAUAAGACUAGAUCUUCGAUUCGACGCUCCAUCCAUAUAUACGCGCAACCGUCGACGGCCGCGGCCUCGAAGACGGAAGUAGCGUCGAGCGAAUCGAUUAGGGCUCGAGCGCCAACUGUCGUCGAAUACGGAAGCGGUCUCGAGCGAAUCAAGAGGCGUCGAGAGCAAGGACACUGCCCGCCGCGCGCACGAGAGCCAGGGCAUUUAAUGCACCUGACGCUUCCCCACCUAACACAUGGGUCACGGAAGACGUGAUAAGGGAACAAGCAUCUGUCCCAUCGUUCUUUUUGCAGCCUUCCCACCAGACGACCCUGGAUAUGUCAGAACGCGGGAAACGAGGAUGGAACGUCUAGUCGGGACCCCCUCGAGACAUCUGAAGUCAGCGCUCCAGAUAUCAGCACAAUGUACGGCAUCCGAACCUCGACCAGACAGGGAUCCUUCCAGGGGACGAGUUGGGCGUCGACUGACUACAUCCCAACCACUCCGCUGGAUUUGCCGUCGGGUCGUACGAGCGCACAUCCGGUAAACCAAUCCAAGACGGGGCGCAGAGCAGGGUAACAGAGCACGCGUAAUCAUCGCCAGGCUACCAAGACGGGACGGCUCGAGGCCAUGCCGGUACGGAAGCCUCGAGUAGGUCAGCGCUCCAUGCUGCUAUCGACUCCUAUUCUGACGCCUAUACAUGUACCUUGGGUCUCUCCUUGGGACUAUAAAAGGAGGGACUCAGGAAUAGAACGACAAGGCAACACCACGCUCAUACGUAGUAGAGCUCCACACUUCAUACCGCGCUUGUAUUCACCCCAGUACAAGCACUUAGGUGCAAGAUAAUACAAACUCUCUCCCCCCCGCUGGACGUAGGGCCUUCUCUUGCCCGAACCAGGAUAAAUCUCUGUGUCUUCUUGCAUCACCAUCUGGGAAAGGGAGCACGCAUACAAAUUUACUCGUUGGUGUGACCCCCCGGGGGGAAAACACCGACAGUUGGCGCGCCAGGUAGGGGUCCUGCGUGUUUUUUCAUCGAUUUCCCACUCCUUUCCAGAUGGCCACUCUUGCCACGCCGUUUCCGCGCUCCACGGUGAUUUGGUUUGGGAGUCUCGAGUUCAUGUCUACGGGCUCCGGCUACGACAUGAUCUUGCUCUCGGUCAGAGAACCAGGAGGAGCCCGCGUUGCGCCAGCACGGUUGAAGGCCCCGAGACGCCCUCACCACCACGCCUCCCCGCCUAAGAAGAGGCACGGACAGCACCACCGCGGCCCCUCUGCCUCAUCACGACCAACAACUCGUGCGAGGCAGGAAGUGGGCCACAAGUCGGCAGCACCGCGUGGUGGAGCAACAAGCGCGACGACUCAGCACCACACAACGACGGGAGGGGACGCGUCUCGCGCACUUUCCCCCACCGCUGCCAGGCUACUUCCACACGGGUUGUUCACUCCAAGAGCGGCACUGCCAUUCGGAUUGGACAACGCCGCGGCGUCGCUCGCCAGAGCGAUAUGCCCAAACGCCCGGACGUACGUGGAAAGACCAACGGUCCUCCCACGUGGCUCUGAAGCGCAGCAGCCGGCGCCCGAGCUGCCGGACCUUUCCCGGGUAUGAGGCCUCCGUCGUCUAGGCCCUGGACGUUACACAAUCACCUCCCUCAGGCAGCGAUUGCUGGAGGAGGGGCGUGGGUGUUUCUACGCCGCCGAACCAGACUCCGACUCUGAGACUGAUAGCUACGACCCUACGAGGGAAUGCUAUCACAUCGACGGAGCGGUAGAAACUACCGAUGAGACACAGGAUGCCGCUGCGGGCGGUCGAGCCCCCGCGGCACGAGAAGACCCCAGGACGCCUGGGAACGACGGACAAGUCGACCCCCCUCCGCAGGAAGACAGAACCGCGCAGCUCACGCAGCUGCGGGAGCUCAAGAUGAAGCUCGACGAAGACCGCGAGCGCCUCGUCCUGCUCGAGCAAAUCCUCGAGCAAGACCUGCCCUACCCGCCGGGCGGAAGUGUCCGCAGACGCGCUCGAGAGGUACAUCGUCAGAUCAUCGGCGACGUAGAGCCAGAGCAACCUGUGAGUCGUUUCCCUCGAGCAGGCCAGAAUGUAGUGGCGGCAACGAUGUUGCUGCGUAACAUGCCAGAGCCUUCGAAUUCCCAGGCCCGACGCAUUCGAGAUGAGGUACAGACAUUGCUCCAGGUGGCGGCAGUCCAACAAGCCGAAAGCUCGGCAUCUCGGCGACGAGGAGCUGCCACUGAGAAGCGUGACGAACAGCCUCAAAACGAAAAGGAGGUGUCAGUCCACCAACAGCCGCCCCCUCGAGGCAGAAAGACCGCUCUCAUCCUCCCCGUUGACAAUUAGCGUCGACACGACGCGCGGCACGACAUCGAAGAAAAUCGACGCCGCCGGCACGGAGAUGCGGAAGAGCGCGGUUACAGCGCGCAUCGCGGCGGGAGAUACGACAGCGAUGAGGAUCGGGUGGCCCCCGAGCCACCGGGCCCUCGGGUUUUCUGCAGGGCAAUCCGCAGCACGCCCCUGCCCAGUCCAUUUCGACCCCCGACCAGCAUCGCAAAGUACAACGGCGAAACCAAGCCAGAAUUAUGGUUAGCCGAUUUUAGGCUAGCCUGUCAGUUGGGGGGAGCUCGAGGAGACGAUCGAGCUAUCAUCAGGCAACUCCCGCUCUUCCUCUCCGACACCGCCCGUCGAUGGCUCGAGGAACUCCCCGCCGAUCAGAUCCACAACUGGGUUGAUCUGGUCAGAGUCUUCGAGGGUAACUUCAAAGGGACCUACAUACGGCCAGGGAACUCGUGGGACCUCAGCAAGUGUAAGCAGAAGUCAGGAGAAACUCUCCGAGAGUAUGCUCGACGCUUCUCAAAGCAGCGCACUGAGCUGCCGCACAUUCCUGACCACGACGUCAUCUUGGCAUUCGUCUCGGGCACCACCAGUCGAGACUUGGUGCGGGAGUUAGGUCGUAAUCGACCUCAGACCGUCGAUGAGCUGAUGGACGUAGUAGCCAACUAUGCGGCAGGGGAGGAGGCAGUCGGCGCCUUCUUCAGCCAUGAAGGAAGAAAAGGCAAGCAGCCCAUCGAUGAAGAUGGGACCCCCGGUCGAGGCCUCAAGAAAAAUAAAAAGAAGCAGAAGGCACGGCCGUUCCACCGGGAGGAUUCCGAUGACAAUCUUGUCGCCGCCAUGGAUCGAAAGAAACCUCGAGGCCCUCCGGAUGGAGGCAUCUUCGACAAGAUGUUGGAGGAGCCGUGCCCUUACCAUAAGGGAGGCGCCAACCACAAGCUCAAAGACUGUCGUAUGCUGAGAAAGCAUUUCGACGGUCUGGGGUUCAAAAAAGAUGCGCGUGACGACUCCAAGAAAGAGAAGGGUGGCAGCAAGGAAGACAACAAAGAGGACGAUGCCUUCCCCGCCGUCCACGACUGCUACAUGAUCUAUGGUGGGCCCUCGACUCCAUUAACCACGAGGCAGCGCAAAAGGGAGCGUCGUGAGGUCUUUGCGGCAAGAAUGGCGGUGCCCCAGUACCUUAGCUGGUCAAGCACUCCUAUCACUUUCGACCGAGAGGACCACCCUGACAAGGUAGUCGCCCCAGGCGUCUACCCACUCGUCGUCGACCCCAUCAUCGUCAACACCCGGCUCUCGAAAGUGCUGAUGGAUGGUGGCAGCAGCCUCAACAUCAUCUACCUCGAGACCCUCGACCUCCUCGGCAUCGAUAGAGGACGCCUCCAGCCAAGCGCCGGCGGUUUCCAUGGCGUCGUGCCAGGGAAAAAGGCACUGCCAGUAGGUCGAAUUGACUUACCGGUCUGCUUCGGCACGGCGGCCAACUUCAGAAAGGAGACCCUCACCUUUGAGGUGGUUGGGUUCCGAGGCACGUACCACGCCAUCAUCGGACGCCCGGGCUACGCCAAGUUCAUGGCUAUACCCAACUAUACCUACUUGAAGCUGAAGAUGCCCGGUCCCAAAGGUGUCAUCACUGUCAGUUCCUCCUUCGAGCAAGCGUACGAGUGCGACGUCGAGUGCGUCGAGUACGGGGAGGCGGUCGAGAGCUCCACCGAGCUCGUCGCGAAGCUCGAGGCCCUAGCCGCUGAGGCUCCAGAGCCUAAGCGCCACGCGGGCAGCUUCGAGGCGGCAGAAGGAACCAAGAAGAUCCCGCUCGACCCUAGCAAUUCCUACGGCAAAGUGCUGACGAUCAGCACCGACCUCGACCCCAAAUAGGAAGCUGUGCUCGUCGACUUUCUCCGUGCAAAUGCCGACAUCUUUGCAUGGAGUCCCUCGGACAUGCCAGGCAUACCGAGGGAAGUCGCCGAGCACUCCUUGGAGAUUCGAGCCGGUUCCAAGCCAGUGAAGCAGCGGUUGCGCCGAUUCGACGAGGAGAAGCGCAAGAUCAUUGGCGAGGAAGUCCACAAGCUUUUGACGGCCGGAUUCAUCAAGGAGGUUCAUCAUCCCGACUGGUUAGCAAACCCUGUAUUAGUUAAGAAAAAGAAUGGGAAAAUGAGGAUGUGUGUCGAUUAUACUAGUCUAAAUAAAGCAUGUCCAAAAGUUCCUUUUCCAUUGCCACGUAUUGAUCAGAUUGUCGAUUCUACCACGGGAUGUGAAACCCUUUCUUUCCUUGAUGCAUAUUCUGGUUACCACCAAAUAAAAAUGAAGGAGUCCGACCAGCUCGCGACCUCUUUCAUCACACCUUUUGGGAUGUAUUGCUACGUGACCAUGCCAUUCGGGCUUCAAAACGCGGGAGCUACGUACCAACGUUGCAUGCUCCAUGUAUUUGGUGAACAUAUAGGGUCGACGGUCGAAGCCUAUGUCGACGACAUCGUUGUCAAGACAAGGCGUCGAGGGGACCUAAUCCAGGACCUCGAGAUUGCUUUUAGCUGUCUACGCGCCAACCGGAUCAAGCUCAAUCCCGAGAAGUGCGUUUUCGGUGUGCCUCGAGGCAUGCUCCUAGGCUAUAUCGUUUCGCAGUGCGGCAUCGAGGCCAACCCCGAGAAAGUCUCGGCCAUCACGAGAAUGGGGCCGAUCCGAGACAUCAAGGGUGUGCAGAGAGUCACGAGAUGCCUGGCAGCUCUGAGCCGUUUCAUCUCGAGACUAGGAGAAAAGGCGUUACCAUUGUAUCGACUCCUGAAGAAGGCCGAGCGCUUUUCUUGGUCCCCCGAGGCCGAGGAAGCGCUCGAAAGACUGAAGAAGACGCUGACCUCGGCACCAGUCCUGGUUCCACCUCAACCUGCAGAGCCGCUACUCCUCUACGUCGCAUCGACAACUCAGGUCGUCAGUGCGGCAGUGGUGGUUGAAAGACAAGAGGAGGGUCAUGCGCUGCCGGUCCAAAGGCCAGUCUAUUUCGUCAGCGAGGUGCUUUCGGAGACCAAGGCGCGUUAUUCCCAAAUCCAGAAGCUGAUCUACGCCGUAAUCCUCUCCCGCCGCAACUCAGGUCCCCCAGAAGCCCUGGUAGACUUCGUUGCGGAAUGGACGGACUCCCAGCUUCCCCCAACUCAGGUCCAGGCGGAGCUGUGGACAAUGUAUUUCGACGGGUCACUCAUGAAAACUGGGGCCGGGGCUGGCCUGCUGUUCAUCUCACCCUUGGGCGUCCACAUGAGGUAUGUAAUCAGGAUUCAUUUUGCCGCAUCUAACAAUGUCGCAGAAUAUGAGGCCCUCGUCAAUGGUCUCAAGAUCGCUAUCGAGUUAGGAGUCCGACGCCUCGACGUCCGAGGUGACUCCCAACUCGUCAUCGACCAAGUAAUGAAAACCUCGAGCUGCCACGAUCCGAAAAUGGAAGCGUACUGCAAAGAAGUCUGUCGACUCGAGGACAAAUUCCAUGGUCUCGAGCUUGUCCAUGUCGCCCGACGCUACAACGAGGCAGCCGACGAACUCGCCAAGAUCGCAUCGACUCGAGGCACGGUGCCACCUGACGCGUUCUCAAGAGAUCUCCACGAGCCGUCCGUCGACUUAGGCUCGGGGGCUGGCGUCGACGCUGCUCAUUCCCAGCCAACCAACAUCGUCGAUACACUCUUAAUGGCAGCUGAAGUGAUGGAGGUAGAACGGCAGCCUGGUCGACCAUUCGACUGGUGCACACCAUACCUCGACUGCUUAAUCCAUGGCGAGCUGCCAGAAGACCGGUCAGAGGCCCGUCGUAUCGCUCAACGGGCCAAGUCAUAUGUGAUCUAUGGCGAAGGCAAUGAGCUAUAUUGACGGAGCCCGACGGGGGUCUUACAACGCUGCAUCACCGUGGAAGAAGGCCAAAAACUCCUCGAAGACCUGCACUCGGGGGCUUGCGGCCACCACGCCGCUCCGCGGACCCUCGUAGGGAACGCUUUUCGACAAGGCUUCUACUGGCCAACGGCCGUGGCGGACGCCAUCGAGCUCGUACGAUCGUGUCACGGGUGCCAGUUCCACGCCAAGCAGACGCAUCUGCCCGCCCACGCUCUUCAGAUGAUCCCCAUUACCUGGCCGUUUGCGGUGUGGGGGCUCGAUUUAGUAGGAGCUCUACAAAAGGCGAAAGGAGGAUACACCCAUUUGCUGGUGGCCAUUGACAAGUUCUCCAAAUGGAUCGAGGCACGACCCAUCACCAACAUCCACCGAGCAGGCCGUCCUUUUCUUCACCGACAUCAUCCAUCGGUUUGGGAUCCCCAACGUCAUCAUCACCGACAACGGCACCCAGUUCACUGGCAAAAAGUUCUUGGACUUCUGCGAUCAACAUCACAUCCGCGUGAACUGGUCUGCAGUAGCCCACCCCCGAACUAACGGCCAGGUCGAGCGUGCCAACGACAUGAUUUUGCAAGGACUCAAGCCAAGGAUCCACAAUCGAUUGAAGAAAUUCGGCAAGAAAUGGGUCGAGGAGCUUUCCUCAGUCCUAUGGAGCCUUAGGACAACACCAAGCAGGGCCACAAAAUACACCCCGUUCUUCAUGGUCUACGGCUCUGAGGCUAUCCUCCCCACAGACCUCGAGUAUGGGUCACCUCGACUGAAGGCGUACAACGAGCAAUCAAAAGAAGAGACUCAAGAAAAUGCGGUCGACCAACUCGAGGAGGCUCGAGACAUGGCCCUCCUCAACUCUGCCAGAUAUCAGCAGAAGCUUCGACGCUACCACGACAAGCAUGUGUGCAAGAGGAACCUCAACGUGGGCGACCUAGUCCUACGAUGCCGGCAAAGCAAUCAAGGACGCCACAAGCUGACUCCGCCUUGGGAAGGCCCGUACGUGGUGGCCGAGGUCCUGAAGCCGGGAACAUACAAGUUGGCGGACGAAAAGGGGGCAAUCUUCACCAACGCAUGGAACAUCGAACAGCUACGUCGAUUCUACCCCUAGAAGUUCUAAACUUAUGUUCCUGCUUACGUUUUGUACCAAGACUUUGUAAACGAAUGAAUGAAUAAAUAAAGUCCUUCCCUCGAAGCAACUUCCUUUUUAUGUCAAGAAGAUUCACAAGUCACGAUCUCGACGUUAAAAGGGGGCGCCGACUAUGACCCAUCAUAGUCAGCACCCCCUCGAGGGCUACCAGGGGGACGACCCCCCCCCCAAACGUCAAAAAAGCCAAGAAGUUUUCCUUUCUUACGUAGUAAACCUUGCACGGUUCAAGUAGCUAAGGCGCCUCGAGCCCUUCAAAGGCCGAGGGACAACGAGCUGGAGAACUCCUACGCCCCCGGGCUACGGAAACUCUACUCACUUCCCCACCAUUGAAGUGAUCGAGGUGAUUUUUCACGAAAGAUCGAGCAAGGGAUACAAACGUAGGCGCAAAGAAAAACAAAAGCAUCGAGCGGAAAGACAAAAUAAGCAUUUAACAAUUACGAAAAAGAUACUGUAUCAGUUAACCACAGAAUAAACAAAGUAUCAUACAAGGGGCCUCAGGCGCCCUGAGCAGGCUCGCAGGCCUCAGUCCGCGGCACGAUCCUCACCGCCCUCGCCUCCACCCGAGCUAACCUCAGGAGGGAGCACCUCAGGCUCGAAAAGCUUAGCCAACCUUUCCCCAGGAGCCUCCGCGUCGUCGAUCAAGGCAUGGAGCCUCUCCUCGUUCUCCGCGUCGGUCUUGGAGAUGUCGGUGAUGAAGCCAUGAGACACCACCUCCAUGUCGUAGGAGAAGCCUGAGCAGACAACCGCCAUCGCCCGCUUCACCCCGAUGUGGAGGGCGUCCCGCACCCGAUCUCGCAGCGUCGCGCCUAUGUAGCACAGCUGGUCGACUAGGGCGUCGCCUCGAGCACCCUCCCUCGACUCAUCCAUAGGCUCGACCUCCCAAGAGGUCGAGAGAUCACUUAUCGCCGUCCGCACUCGACGGUUCAAAGCAACCUCCGAUUCGAGCUGAGCCUUGGCGUUGCGAGCCUCGGCUUGGGCGGCCAGGAGUUCGUCCUUGAGACCUGUAAAGGCCAAUACAAGAGACCUUAGGAAAAACCAAGCACACCUCGGAAAAAGAAAUCUGAUAAAGGAAACGUACCGUGAGCGGUCUCCUCUAGGGCCGUGUUCUCACCAACCAGCCUGGUGUUGGCCCUCUCGAUCUCUUUGUUGGAGCGUGCCAGCUCGGUGUUGGCAACGCAGAGAUCCUCGAUCGCCUUGCCAGCCUGAACAAUGGCCCCACUCUUCUCCAGCAAUUCUCCCUUCAGACGCUCGACGUCGUUAGAGAGACUGCGGGAUCGAGCCCGCUCCGCCUCGAGAUCUUCGAGGGCCUUCUUCUUGGCUUCCUCCGCGGCGCCCCUGGCGACCUCGCCAUUCAUAUGCUCCACCUUCAUCCUUCAGAAGGACUCUCGGAGAGAGUCCAGGUCGGAUUUAAGGAGGCCCUUCUCCUUGUCCAGAUCCGCGAUAACGCUCUUGUAGGACAGGGCCUCCUCCCGGGCUCUGGACGCGGCCUCCUCGACCGUCAGAGCCCUCUCCCGCAGCAACGUCGUCUCCUCCACCGCCCUCCUUGAGGCCUCUCGAGCCUUGGCUAAGGCAGCCUCCCUCGCUUUCUUCUCCUCCUCGAGCGCUGUGAGGUCUUUGUAGGCCUAAAGGAGCUUCUCCUGCGACUCGAGGAGCUGAUCCUUGAGGAGGGGAAGCUGCUCCCAGCCGCCUCUCGUGGCGUGUAUGAAACUGGACUUGAUGCGGGAGGUCUCUUUCAUAUCCUGCGAACCAAGGGUCGAAUGAUUAAAACACAAAAACCCAAAGGGCACCACAAGGAUUGAAGCUCAAAAAGCACUUACAAAAUAAGCCGGGCCGAGCCCGUUGUUGAUAACGUCCGAGAGGAGCCCCACCACAUGUUUCAUCCAAAGGCGGAGCUCCUCGACGUGUUCCCACUUCUCUGCCUCCUUCCGAUCGUCGAGGAAGAUGUUAGGCUCAGACGGGUCGUGGGAGGCCCGGAUACGGAUGCGAUCGGGGCACCAGUGCUCCAUCUCCCGGUCGGCCCGCGCCUUUACGCCGCGGAUGCCUUUGGCUUGGCAGGAGCUAUCGCCACCUUGUACGGCUUUUGCUGCGUUGGAUGCCCGGUGUUCCUUCUUUGCGGCGGUCGGAACCUAGCACCUGGGGCAGGAGGACGAUACUGUUGUCGCCCCGCCACUGGUGCCCUAGACUGAGAUGACCCAGCUUCAAAAGCCCUCUUACAAGACUUGGAUGCACUGUAGUUGUUGUUAUUGUUUUCCUGGGUCAGACACUCACUGAUGUAAGCAUUGAAGGUAGCCUGGGCUCCUAUACCCAUAGUCUUCAACAUCUUCGGGCUCAAGCCUCUCUGGAAACUAGCGAUCUUCUUGGCUUCCGUGUUCACAUACUCGGGGGCGUAACGAGUGAGAUUGUUAAAAGCGUGUAGAUGCUCCUUUACAGACUUCGUUCCCUGGGACAGCCUCAUGAACUACCCAACCUUCAUUUCCACCACACCCGGAGGAAUGUAAUUUCCCCAAAAAGCGGUAAUGAAGCGGUUCUAGGUGAUUGGGGUCCCCUCUGGGUAGGUGGUACGGUGAUGGGACCACCAAAUCCCAGCAGGUCCCUGCAACUGAUGCGCUGCAUACUGAGCCUUAAGUUCUUCAGUCAUCCGAAGAAGACGGAACUUUUGCUCCAUGGUGUUGAUCCACCCAUCUGCCUCAAGCGGUUCUAGGGCCUCCUUGAAGACGAGUGGUUUGGUAUCUGUUGGGUAUUUUAAACACAAACAGAAAAAUCCGCAAGCGCACGGAUACCGAUGUAGCCUUCACCCGGGAGUAUUCCAGAGUAUCGAUUUUCCACAGGGAACGUGAGUGUACUAAUUAAGAUCCAAGAUCGCCCAAGGAUAACUAUAUAAUUAUUUUUGGUGGGAAGAGAGGAAGUUUCCUGAGAGUUCUCAAGUCGAUCUAAGAAUCAAGAAUUACUUCAAGAUUAUCUAUAUCGGGACAUCAGAGCAUGUUGAUAUUUGGGAACGCAAUAAGGAAUUGAUCCGCAAGCGCACGGAUAUCGGUGAGCACUUCACCCAGGAGGUUAUCCAGAGUAUCGUAUUUAUUUUUUUACCACUAGGAGAAAGAGUGCAUCUGACUAACCAGUCUAUUACUACUAACCCUUUAGGCAACAAAGAAUGUUCUCGAUGUGAGUGAUAAAUAGAGAAGACUACAACCGUAGUCUCCUUCUAACCUUGGCAAGGAUGAUCUACUGUUCUAUUGGGGAGGCUAACGGAAUCUAGACACCACAAAGGAUGUUCAACCCACACCUAUAAACCCUAUCCUUCCUGCUAACGAGAUAUGGUCUGCAAAGGUAACUCGGAAUUUUCACGUUCCUCACUACUACCACAGUCUAGCUAGUCAGGGAAUAUCUAUGAGUACCCCAGCCUAAACACCACGUUUACGCCAGCAAUGAUUACUCUAAACUCUAUGCAAAGAGAUUAAAGUAAACUCAUAAACCAAAAGAACAAUAAAACAAGAACUUACUAGAAUUUAGAAGUCGAAAUACUGAAGAAUCCUAGGAGCAAGCCUCGGGUUAGGAGAACUUGAUCCAGCAGGUACAAGCUUGGAGUAGACACCGACAUGCCAGCCUUCCACCGAUCUACACCUCCACUCUAUAUCUCUCAAUCUAGUAGAAACUAGAAGAUCUAUUUCUACUUACAUUGGUUGCUAAGCCUAAAAAGAAAUAUUAUUUAGAGAAGAGGUUUUCCUUCGAGGGCACCCCUCAAUCUCUAUGACAACUUCUUGUCUCCUCCAGGGGCCAGGGGGGUCUCCUUAUAUAGUCCUCCUCCUCUAUGCAUUUUUGGGUCAGUAGGCGAGGUGGUACUACAUUAUCCUUGAUCCAUUAGGUCGGUGGAACAUCGUGUGCGAAGAGAGUCCCGAACGUAGUACAGGAGGGGCCGAGUGCCCAGGUCCUCAGGGCGGGCGCCCUGGGCCUGGCCCCUUUCGGCCUCUGCUUUCUUCCCGUGGCUUCUGGAGUCUUCUAGAUGGUAGAAAAUCGCACGGCGUGUUGAUAUCUCUAUGUAAUCCCGACAUGUGGGCCUUUCUUCCUUAUUUCCUGAUAACCUCCUGCAGAAACAGAUAAACAACAAAACUCGUGGAAUUUUGUCAGAUCAAACCCUAAUUCUAGGUGUUGGUUGCAUAUUGGUCCUUUCCCUUGUUUAUUUGAUAAUUAAAUUUGAUACUUAAGAACAGUCAACAAAUACCCCCAUACUUAGGCUUUUACUCGUCCUCGAGAAAAGGAUGGUUAAGAAAAAUAUCUGGGGUAAACAUUUUAAAACAUUCUCUUUAUAAUUGCAGGGUAUUAAAGAUCCACUGUGUACUGUAGUCAGGGAAGUAUAUGGUUAAGAGUAAAGAUCCUUUCUUCUCAAUCCUGUCACUAGGAGUUUUUUGUAUAUUUUUGAAAGAAAGUUAGCAUACCUUUUUAUCCUCAUAGGUUCUCUCAAAUCACUCAUUAUCUUUUAUAUAUCUCACUGAGGUUGUUUUAAUUUGCAAAAAUUCUCAAGCAUACUUACUUUGCAUUUAUUGCCUGAUCAAAACGGGAUCCGAGGAGGGGAAUGUCAUACUCUUAGAUCAAAGACUUUGGAAAUUAAAAUCUUUGUCAACUCUUGCUGGCAUAUUGCAUAUUAGAGGGACCAUGGGCUAUCAUUUUCUCUUUUUUUAAGUGGAUACCGAGGUAUCCCUAAUUCUACUGCCGGACACUUGUCCUUUUUUUCUGUGAGGUUGUCGAGCACUUGCUCCUUUUUAUUUCCUCGAAAUAUCUUUAUUUUUGCAUAGCCCAUGCCUCUAAUGCAAUAAUACUUCGGAAGAGUGAAUCUUUCUGAAUAAAUGUCUUGAUCUUAGGAGCAUGAUAAAUGUAAUAACCCUAAAAUUUACCUGACACAAAAAUCCCAACUACAAAAUUUUUUCUGAAUUACCCCAUGAUUGAUGAGUGGCAUGUAGCAAGCCUCACCACAUUGCAUUCUUUUUUGUUAUAUUGUUCACCCUAGGUUUAUCAUGCAUGCAUAUUUAUUUUAUUGCAUUUUAUCCCAUGGCGGGUGAUUGGAAUUUAUUUGGAUUUUUGUAUUGUUGCUCACUUCUUAUCUAAGUGAUUAAUUAACAAUUAAAUAUUAAUACAAAUUACUUGCCAUCACAAGUGGCUAAGUUCUAAUCAUAAUUAACACCCAAUUGUCAAACUUAUCUAAAGACUAAUUAAGUACAAAGGAAUAUAGAUUAGGAAGGGCAAAUAGGAAUAAUAAUGAAAGAGUAAUAAUAAAUGAAUAAUUGACAACUAACAAAUAAAUAUUAAAUCUGAAAUGAUUCCAAACUACACACCUAAAACCUAAUUAGAUAAGGAGUAAAAGAAAUAGAAAAGAACAAAAAUAAAAUAGAAAAGAUAAGGAGAAGAGAAAAUAAAGGAGAAGGAAACCCCGGGCUGCAGCUCCAGCCCAACCGGCCGGCCUGUCUCUCCCCCUCCGUCUUCCUCAGCUCCCGCACGACCCGCUCAGCGCCGCGCUCUACUCAGCGCGCCUCGCGUGCUCCCGAGCUCCACCGCUCGCACCCACGCAUGCAGGACCGAGCUCCACCGCUCGCGCCUCCGCUGCUCCCCCCGCGACACAUGCAAGACCGAGCUCCACCGCUCGUGCCCACGCAUGCAAGACCGAGCUCCACCGCUCGCGCCCACGCAUGCAAGACCGAGCUCCACCGCUCGCGCCCGCGACACAUGCAGGACCGAGCUCCACCGCUCGCGCCCACGCAUGCAAGACCGAGCUCCACCGCUCGCGCCCACGCAUGCAGGACUGAGCUCCACCACUCGCGCCCACGCCAUGCGUGCACCGCUCGCGCCCGCGACACAUGCAAGACCGAGCUCCACCGCUCGCGCCCACGCCCUGCGAGGACCAAGCAUAUCCACGGGAGAGCAUCCUCGAGCUCCAUAAGGAGCCCCCACCGAAGCCACAUCGCCGACCGCUCUACCACGCGCACCACGCCACUUCGCCUCCGCGCUGACCGCCGCUGCCGCGCCGAACGCCGCACCGUCGCCGCGAUCCCCGUCGACGUGCCGCGCCACCUCGCCACAACACCGACGCCGCCGUUCCCUGCUACCGUCAUCCCCGCGCCCUGCUCCGGACCUGGACGCCGCGCCCUGCACCGCUGGUAAGCCGCCGCGUUUCACCCCCUGAUCCACACCGCCGCCGUCGCGCCGCGCACAGCCGCGCCAUGCUGCGCUCGCCGCACGCCACGCGCGCCCCCGCGCGCGCCGAACACUGCCGUCGUCGCGCCGCGCACAGCCGCGACCUCUGCUCCCAUGCGCGCCACAAACGCCGCCGUCGCUCCUGCCUCGCUCGCACGCACGCUGGGACGAGGGGAGAAGCCGCAUGGGCCUUGACCCCCCUUUCGGCCCACGAGGUCGCCCGCAGCACUGGCCCGAGAGGAGGGCAACCAAGCAGGCUUUGCCUAGUUUCGGCCCACGCACGUCACGAGAGAAAGAAAAUGGUUUUUCUUUUAAUAAAUUGGAAUAAACUUUGAGGAUGCAUAACUUUCUCGAUUUAACUCCGAUUUAGGCGAUUCAACUUGCGUCGGGUUCGUCUCGACAGGAUCUACACAAUAGAGCUAUAGUCCACCAGCUUUUCAUUAAUUAAUUUUAAGGUGUUAUUUAAUACAUUAGACAAAUGCCAGAUAUCAUAGAAAAUUCAUAUCUCGAUCAUACGAACUCCGAAUUUUACACAAACAUCGAAAUUUAUAUAAAAUAAAUUUCUACUUGAUGAUAAACUUCUUGUGUGCAUUUGGAUCUUUUCGCUGUUAUUCGUUCUUUGUGCUCAUAUAUAGGGGGUCGUUUCCGCGACCAAUAAUCCACGUGCAGAGUCAGAGGAGGAUCGGACUGACGAGGACCGUGAGUAUCGGGAGGAGUUUGGCGACGACUACUCCGAAGGUGCCACAUCCCACCCACUUUCGUAGAUCUCAUUACGCAUUGCAAAUAUUAGAAUUGCUAGUGCUUUAUAUUUCUGUUGAUAUAACUGCUGUUAUAGGGUUGCAUAGUAGAUUUACUAUUCUUGUACCCUACCUUGUUUUACCUAUCACCCUGCUCACCCGCUGAUAGAUUAGACACACGCUUUUAUUAUAUUUCUACUAUAUUUAUAUUCUUCGGCUUAUAUCGAUGAUGUGACGCCGAUGGUGAACCUAAGGGGAUGGUUUGGCUUGGGAAGUCGAGCCGAGUGAUCUUGUUGGAUCUGGGGCUUAUGGUGAGGAUGUGUGGUGGUCUUGGUGUGUGUCUUGGGUGUGUGAAGGGUGAGGGUUGAGUCGACCAGGCUGGGAUCUACGACGAGCCAGUGGGGCGAGUCAUGCCGUGGAAUGAACUGGACAUUCCUGUUGGAUAUACCUGUGGCGGGUAAUUAUGCGGUGGAGAUGUGUGUGAGGUGAACCCGGUAUAAGUCUCUGGCGGGAGGAGCUUCGGGUGGAGGUGCUGUGGUGGCACGUUAAAUGGAAACCCUAAUGAAGAUAUCCUAGCUUGGUCACACCUAAGGACUGACAGUGCUAGUAACCGGAUCAUAGGAAUCCUUGCUUUCCACUCGCUUCCCAUGGGGGGGAGACGGCCGAACCACCAGGUAGGGUGAUGCCACUACUACUAGGCGAGGAUGUGUUAGGGAGGUAUGGGCAGGUUGGUCUCACACCCUCCCGAGACGAUCAUGGCUCCCUAUUUGGGACAGGGGACAUGACUUCACAGUUUCAGCCACUCCAGGUGGGGUGCUCCAGGGUUGAGAGGUAGAGUGUUAUUGUCCUAGGCCGGCAGGCGCCCGGAAUCAGCCUAGUUGGUGACGGCCAGCGAUGAAGGAAGAUCUUGUGGAUUAGUAAAACCUCUGCAGAGUGUAUGGUUGAUCGAUCGAUACAUAUGCCGUCCUUUCGGCUAUGGACCCUUCCUGUGUUCUGUUUUCACUAGACUAGAGAGAGGAGUGUUCUACCUUCCCCGAGAGGUACUUCCGGCCGCGAGCCAUAGGUUGAGGGCUGUGGGCCACUGAGACACGCCGAGUGGGAGUUGGCAUGUCGACCUGAGUGUGGGUUAUGUUGGUGUUGGUGAUGGAGAUGGAUAUGGUAUGGUUUGGGAUGGUAUGGAAUGGAGGGUGAUGGAUGGUGUAUGGGUUUGGGUUGUGUUAAAACUUGACUAUUACUAUAUUUAAAACUUGAUUACUAUUGCAUAGGAAAACUAGAGCCCCAUUUAGGCCUCUUCAAUUUACCUUAUUUGCAUCCAAUUCCACAAAGCAAGCGCAUAGGGUGGGAGUGGCCAGUACAAAUCGUAUUGAUACUUUGGCAUACAGGUUCUUAUGAUUCCGAGGGAUAUAGCAACUAGGGGGUUCGUGCCUUCACUCAAGUCGAUGGAGUUUCUACCUUCCGCAUCUAUCGAGCUGUUCCGGUUGAUAAUUUAGAUUUUGUUUCUGCCAUGUGGCAAUGCAAUAAUGUAAUACUCUCUAUUCUUAAUGCUUUUGUACGAUGUAUGGAUGAUGAUUAUCAACUGGAAUUGGGUAAUUUGAUUUAAAUGGUCAUUUUACACUUCGACUAUGUGGAUUUUCCCCUUCGUGGAAAAUCAGGUCGUUUCAAUAAAUCACUCAACAAGGGUCUAACUCAUUUUGAACAAACUCAAUACAGAGUAGAUAGCUUUUAUAACCAUAAUUAAUAUUUUCAGUUUUAUCGGGCAUAUAAAACACUAAGGAUGGUAGCUAGAAUUUUGAAGAUUUUGAAAUAAAUUCUCCAAGCAACAAUUAUAUCAAGAAUAAGAAACUCAUACUCUAUCAUCUCACAUUCCAUAAUGACUUAAGUAACACAGGGUUUUAAAAAUGAUUUUAUAAUAGUUACAAGUUUCAGGAAAUAUCACAGAAUGAGAUUAAUCAUGAUUAGAAAUAUUUUAAUCUUUUUAAUGUAUCAUGUCGGAAACAGUAUUCUGGAUAAUCAAGAUAUGUGUAUGUGUAAUGUAAAGUGUUAAGUGUGUACCUGAAUCGUGGAGUGGUGUAGUCGGAGUGUGUUUGGCAUGUUGAGGGAUCUCCCCCAUACUUGUUUUCUGCUUUCUUGCACAAAAAUAAAGUAGAGACACACAAGACAUAAUAAUAAUAAUACUCUUUAUUAAUCUUGAGGCAUUUAUUACAAAAGACUAGUAGUAAACUGAUAGCAAACUGAUGAUAAUAGUAAACCUAAACCGAAUUUAAAGAGAGAUGACUAAGAUGCAUUGCCUCAAGGUCUAAUCUAGAUAAUUUAGCGGCGCUCUAAUUCCUUAAUCUUCUUGUUGGCACUGGCAAGAUCAUGCCUAAGGCCUAGUAUAAUGGUGUUGUGGUUAGAGAGCUGCCCAGUGAGGGAAUUAAUCGAGGACUGGAGGUCUAUGAUAACUCUGUCUAGUCUGCGAACGUCCUCAUCAAUAUCCAUUAUAGUCUUGCGACACUUGGGAGGUGUCUCAAAAGCAUUGAGAGCGUGCUUAGGGGCUGCCUUUGGAGGGAUGAAACAGACUUUGGCUGCUCUAAUCCCUUCGAAGUAAGGCCUUUCCUCUUCCGUAGUGUAGCGAAUACUGCUGAUCUCGCCGCUCUGGUUGGUCUUGACUCCAACGACCCUCUCAUUGGGUCUAGGUGGAAGGAUCCUUGUGCCGGUUGGCACCUUGAUGGUGGUCUUCGUCUUGGAUGAUGAUCCCUUGAGGAGUAGGGGUUGUGGUGGUGCGGUGAGAACUGGUUGAGCAUGGUAGGAUUGGGCGGAGUUGCGUUGGUGUAAUGGCAUGGCUUCUAGCUGUCGCUCUGUGUUGGCCGGGACGAGAGCACGGGCAUCGGGGUCUUCCACAGGCUCCAUGUUGAGGUUGAAGGGGACGACUUCCCAAUCAUCGUGGUACUUCUCGGCCAUUGGAGCAGCAAGCAACUAAUCAAGCUCUAAUUGAAGAAGAAGAAGGCUUGGUGGUUUGGUGUUUGAAAAAGGAGGUCAGGGGUCUGUUUAUAUAGGGGUCAAAAAGUGCCUCUAAGGGUUGUUCGGGUUGCUCCCGUCGAUGUGCGUGCAAAACUUUCCAUCUGAGGGAUUAUUCGGAUUACCAUAAGUGCAUUUUCCAUAACAAAGAAAAUCGGGACCGAGGGGGAACAGGUGCUGGGUGCCCGCCCACCUGAUCUGGGCGCCCGCCCUCUCUCUGGCCCCUCUGUGGGCCCACUUUCUCGAGCGCGUUUCUAGAUGCAAAAUUAUUUAGAAAAAUAUAUAUGACCCGAAAACUUAAGAUUAAAAGUGUCGGGCUCUAAUUCUCCAUGGGAAGGUAAAAAUGGACUACGUCUAUUUCUUCUAAUUCUUUAUUAGGCUCUAAAAAAAUUUAAGACGUUGACCAUUUACCUUGAAUAACGUACCUUUAAUGGUCCUUCCCAUUUGCUCCGGAGUUUUCCAUGCCCGAAAAGCUUCACCCUGGAAUUAAAAAGUAAUACCUUAUCUCCGGGUGUGAACUCCUUCUUCUUGAUUCUCUUGUCAUGCCACCUUUUGACUCUUUCUUUGUAGAUCUUUGAAUUGUGAUAUGCCUUCUCUCGCCAUUCUUCCAAUUCUGAUAGUUGCAUUCUUCUAUAAUCUCCAGCAACAUCUAGAUCCAUAUUCCAUCUCUUUAUGGCCCAGUGUGCUGUGAACUCUAGUUCAACAGGUAGAUGACAAGUCUUCCUGUACACCAAUUGGUAUGGAGACAUUCCAAUUGGGGUCUUGUAUGCUGUUCGGUAUGCCCAGAGUGCAUCGGGUAACUUGUCUUUCCAUGCCGUUGCCAUUUCAUUUACUGUCUUCUGAAGAAUAUUCUUGAUUUGCUUGUUGGAAGUCUCUGCUUGGCCACUUGUCUGAGGAUGAUAGGGGGUAGCGACGUUGUGACGGAUUCCAUGUUUUGAUAGAUAUUGCUUGAAGCGUUUGUCGAUGAAGUGUGCUCCUGCAUCACUUAUCACUACUCUGGGGACUCCAAAUCUUGGAAAUAUAAUUUCUUCAAACAUCCUCUUUGAACUGAUGUUGUCGGCAUGCUUGCAAGGUAAUGCCUCUACCCACUUGGAGACAUAGUCAACUGCCACCAAGAUGUACUCACAUUUCUUUGAUGGAGCAAAUGGACCCAUGUAGUCUAUUCCCCAGACAUCAAAGAGCUCAAUCUGAAGGUUGUUGGUGAGUGGCAUUGCGUCCCUUGUAUUUAUGUUUCCGUGCCUUUGACAUGGCCCACAUCUUAUGAUAUAUUGCUUCGUGUCUUCAUACAUUGUAGGCCAGUAGAAUCCACACUGCCAGAUCUUUGAAUGUGUACGGAAUGCUCCAUAGUGACCUCCAUAUGGUGAUGAAUGACAUCUGUCGAUGAUCUUCCAUCCUUCCUCAGUGGUGACACAUCUCCUGAGUAAGCCAACAGAGCAUACUCGGAAGAGGUAUGGCUCAUCCCAUAUAUGUGAACGACUUUCUUGAAUAAGCUUCUUCUUGUUUGCUCCUGGCGGUACAUACCCUGUAACCAUAAAAUUAACAAUAUCUGCAUACCAGGGGUCAGACCUGUUAAUCCCAUAGAGCAUGUCGUCCCGGAGUGGAUCAUUGAUGAGGGUUUCCUGUGGACUCUUAAAAUACAUUCUAGACAAGUGAUCAGCAACAGAAUUUUCUACUCCCUUUUAUAUUUUAUUUCUAAGUAAAAUUCUUGGAGUAAUAAGAUCCAUCUAAUCAGGCGAGGUUUAGCAUCUUUUUUUGUGAGCAAAUAUUUUAGUGCAGCAUGAUCAGUGUAAACAAUUAUUUUAGCUCCAACUAAAUAAGAUCUAAAUUUAUCAAUGGCAAAGACAACAACCAGAAGCUCUUUUUCAGUGGUUGCAUAAUUAAGUUGAGCUCCUGUCAAAGUUUUACUGGCAUAAGCAAUUGCAUGAUGCUUCUUAUUUUUAGUUUGUCCUAAUACUGCCCCCACAGCAUAAUCACUAGCAUCACACAUAAUUUCAAAAGGCAACAACCAAUCAGGGGGUUGAAUGAUUGGUGCGGAGAUGAGUGCUUUCUUUAAUAAAUUAAAAGAUGUUAGACAUGCAUCAUCAAAUUCGAAAGGAGCAUCCUUGGCUAGCAAAAGAGUAAGUGGUCUAGCAAUAAAUGAAAAAUCUUUUAUGAAUCUACGAUAAAAACCAGCAUGGCCAAGAAAGCUUCGAAUUCCUUUUAUGUUCACAGGUGGAGGUAGUUGUUCAAUUACUUCAAUUUUAGCUUUGUCUACCUCAAUACCUCUUUCAGACACUAGGUGUCCCAGCACUAUUCCUUCUCUAACCAUAAAAUGACAUUUUUCCCAAUUAAGGACUGAGUGCUUUUCUUCACAUCUUUGCAAAACCUUUUCUAAGUUUUCAAGACAACUAUCAAAAGUUUUUCCAUAAACAGAGAAAUCAUCCAUGAAAACUUCCAUAAUCUCUUCAAUCAUAUCAGAAAAUAUAGACAUCAUGCAUCUUUGAAAAGAAGCUGGUGCAUUACAUAACCCAAAAGACAUUCUACGAUAAGCAUAAGUUCCAUAUGGGCAUGUAAAAGUGGUUUUGCUUUGAUCAUCGGGAUGGAUCGGGAUUUGAUGAUACCCUGAAUAUCCAUCUAAGAAACAGAAGAACGAAUGGUUUGCUAAUCGCUCUAGCAUCUCAUCUAUGAAAGGUAAAGGAAAAUGAUCCUUUCUCAUGGGUUUGUAUAAUUUUCUAUAGACUAUGCACAUUCACCAUCCUGUGACGGUGCGUUGCGGAAUUAGCUCGUUCUUUUCAUUCAUAAUAACAGUCAUGCCUCCCUUUUUAGGCACAACUUGAACUGGGCUUACCCACUCACUGUGCGGCACAGGAUAUAUAAUCCCUGCAUGCAGCAACUUUAUAACUUCCUUUUUAACUACCUCUAUCAUAGUGUUAUUAAGUCUACGUUGGGGUUCUCGAGAAGGUGAAACAGAAGGAUCUGUUUGAAUACGAUGGGUACAAAUCAUAGGACUGAUUCCUGUAAGAUCUUGGAGUGAGUAGCUGAAAACUGAGUGUUGUUUCUCAAGAAUGGUCAUUAAUCGCAGAGUUUGCUCCUGAGUGAGUUUAUCGCUAAUGAUCACAGGAAAUUCUGGAUUAUUGUUUAGGAAAGCAUAGAUAAGACUGGGUGGUAAAGUUUUAAGCUCUAUGGGGGGUCUAGGUGCUUCUGCAAACUUAUCUAAGGGUUCAGGUUCAGAAGGUUUGGCUUCUUCUUCUGUGAAGAAAGGAGUUUCAUCUUCUAAGUCUGGUUCAUCUAAAAGCUCUAGAGAUGCAGCCUUUACCUCCUCUAUAGGAUCAGGCAAAAGAUAUGACUCGGCCUUAUUGUUUAAGGAGUGUGAAAUUGUUAUUGGGAUUUUAAAAGUUUUUCCAAAAGAAAUGUGCAGCUUUCCAGUAUGACCUUCAUAAAGGAGUCUUCUAAAAGGUUGUCCUAUCAACAGGUCAAAGUCCCAUGUAUCAAAGAUAUAGAAGUUCAAACGAACCAUGGAGCCUUCUACCGUAAGAGGUAGGACAUUAAUAAUUCCAAGACUGGGGACUAAUCGUCCCGAAGAUUCCUUUAUGACCUUUGUUGUGGGGGUUAAGACAAGAUUUUUAAAUAGUUUAAGUGCAAAAGAUUCAGACAUGAUGUUGAUCCCCACAACAGGAUUAUAAAGCGCAUUAAAUCGAUCAGAAUUAUAAGCACAGCGUAUAGUUAUAGAGGAUGUGUCCAAACGGAUCACAUCAGAGGAAAGCUCUGAUUCCUCCAACCAUUCGCUACUCAUGACUGAGAUAAGCUCUCUCAAUUGAUAUUCACUUGGCAAAUAAAUGCUAAACUGGCCGCUUUGAGGUUUGUCAAUAGAAUGGUAGUUUGAAAUGUUUCCAAAAUCGGCAAAAAGAUUGGAUUCUAUAUCCAGCAUGAAGUCCGGUGGUGGAAUUUCUUCCUCUUGUGGCUCAGAACUUGGGAUAGCUAAAGUAGAUGAAGAAUUUGGUAGAGUGUCUACUUUGGCUUUGUAGGUUUCAUCAUGAAGGGUAUUAUUCAUCUCAGCUUCUAGGAUUCUAUCUAGGAUCACUCUAGCUUCAUCAGUAGGGAUGCGAAAGAAAGAACCUCUAGACAUUAUGUGUAGCAUUUGUUUGUAAUUUAUCUGAAGACCUCGAAAAAAGUGAAAUAAAAGAAAAGGGUUUUCAAGAUUAAGGUUUGGACCAGAUUCUAAAAGAUCAGAAAAAUGUUUUCAGGAUUUUCCCAAAGUUUCAUUAUCUUUUUGUUUAAAAGAUAGGACUUCGAGUCUAAGGUCGGCUAUACGGUCGAGGGAAUAGAAAUCUAGACAAAAGUUGGCUCGUAAAACUCCCCAUUCACCUUGUUGUUGACUUACCUUCUGACUGUACCAUUGUCUAGCUUCUCCCCUUAAAGAAAAAGGAAAAAGCUUCCAACGUAAAGUUUUAUCAGAAAUGCCUUCAAUGCGAAGACAAUCACAUGUUUGCUCAAAAUCUCUAAUAUGAAGGUAAGGGUUUUCGUCUUCCUUUCCCGAAAAAGAUAGGUUUUGAAUCAUGGCAAUCAACCCAGAACUUAACUUAUACUGGGAUGUUUGGAUAGGUUGUGAUGAUUCCCAUGGUAAAAGGUCAGUUACCGAAGGGAUUGCAGAUUCAUAGAUCGAUUUAGAAUUAUGGUUUUCCAUAAGGUAAGAGUAAAGAAAAUAAAUACGGAAUAUAAAAGAUAAGAAAAGAUAAAAGUAUAGAUACAAGCUAGUAGUAAGACUCAAGGUUAUCUCAGCAAACCGUCUUUCUCCCCGGCAACGGUGCCAGAAAUGCUUGUUGAUAUUUGGGAACGCAAUAAGGAAUUGAUCCGCAAGUGCACGGAUAUCGGUGAGCACUUCACCCGGGAGGUUAUCCAGAGUAUCGUAUUUAUUUUUUUACCACUAGGAGAAAGAGUGCAUCUGACUAACCGGUCUAUUACUACUAACCCUUUAGGCAACAAAGAAUGUUCUCGAUGUGAGUGAUAAAUAGAGAAGACUACAACCGUAGUCUCCUUCUAACCUUGGCAAGGAUGAUCUACUGUUCUAUUGGGGAGGCUAAUAGAAUCUAGACACCACAAAGGAUGUUUAACCCGCACCUAUAAACCCUAUCCUUCCUGCUAACGAGAUAUGGUCUGCAAAGGUAACUCAGAAUUGUCACGUUCCUCACUACUACCACAGUCUAGCUAGUCAGGGAAUAUCUAUGAGUACCCCAGCCUAAACACCACGUUUACGCCAGCAAUGAUUACUAUAAACUCUACGUGAAGAGAUUAAAGUAAACUCAUAAACCAAAAGAAUAAUAAAACAAGAACUUACUAGAAUUUAGAAGUCGAAAUACUGAAGAAUCCUAGGAGUAAGCCUCGGGUUAGGAGAACUUGAUCCCGCAGGUACAAGCUUGGAGUAGACACCGACAGGCCGGCCUUCCUCCGAUCUACACCUCCACUCUAUAUCUCUCAAUCUAGUAGAAACUAGAAGAUCUAUUUCUACUUACAUUGGUUGCUAAGCCUAAAAAGAAAUAUUAUUUAGAGAAGAGGUUUUCCUUCGAGGGCACCCUUCAAUCUCUAUGAUAACUUCUUGUCUCCUCCAGGGGCCAGGGGGGUCUCCUUAUAUAGUCCUCCUCCUCUAUGCAUUUUUGGGUCGGUAGGCGAGGUGGUACAACAUUAUCCUUGAUCCAUUAGGUCGGUGGAACAUCGUGUGCGAAGAGAGUCCUGAACGGAGUACAGGAGGGGGCGGGCGCCCAGGUCCUCAGGGCGGGCGCCCUGGGCCAGGCCCCUUUCGGCCUCUGCUUUCUUCCCGUGGCUUCUGGAGUCUUCUAGAUGGUAGAAAAUUGCGCGGUGCAUUGAUAUCUCUAUGUAAUCCCGACAUGUGGGCCUUUCUUCCUUAUUUCCUGAUAACCACCUGCAGAAAUAGAUAAACAACAAAACUUGUGGAAUUCUAUCAGAUCAAACCCUAAUUCUAGGUGUUGGUUGCAUAUUGGUCCUUUCCCUUGUUUAUUUGAUAAUUAAAUUUGAUACUUAAGAACCGUCAACAGAGCACUAACCACAAAAAGAGAUGAGAAGGGGGCUAGGAAGGUCUGACUAUAGUCCUACAAACACCGAUCCGAACGAGGUGGAAUACGUCGACCCUUAGGGCUGUCACUACCCUAAGGCUACCACAACAAUCCGCAGGAUUGGGUGCAAUUCCAGGUAAUCGCAAGACUAAACACCACGUCUAAUCUAUUAAUAACUACUCUAGCGUUAUAAAGACUAGAGAACUUGAUGCAAGUGGGAAUCCAAUAAAUAACUUGAAUGUAAAUAAAAUUAAUUAAAGAACUCAGGAAUUAUGAAUUGAAGAACCUGGAGAACGAUGAAGAAUGAACCAGUUGCUGCAAAAGUACAAUGUUGAGGAAGAUCCGACUGAUCCGGCUCCUCCUUCUCCGCUCUCCUCUUCUCUCUCCCUAUUUUCUAGAUUACAACUAGAACUAACUAGAACUAGAACUAGAGGAACUAGAACUAGAACUAGAACUAGAUGAACUAAAACUAGAUCUAGAUGAACUAGAGGUAGAACUAGAAGAACUAGAGGGAUCCUCUCUACUUGGAUUAAGAAUUGAAACCCUAACUUUGAUUCUGUAGAAGAGGUAUGAUCUCCAGGGGCCAGGGGGUCUGGUUUUAUAUUCCCUUCAAGUGAAUCUGGGCCGUUGGAUCAAACUGACAUUAAUCGCACAGUUUUCCUUGGUCCCUUAGGUCGGUGGAACACGAUCCGCGAAGUUGAAGCUGAUUGGUUACUGUAGGUGGGCGGGCACCCAAGGGGGGAGGGCGGGCGCCCUGCUCCCGGGCCCGAUCGGCCUCCCGUUCGUUCCCGUGGCUUCUGGAGUCUUCUAGAUGGUAGAAAAUUGCACGGCAUGUUAAUAUCUCUAUGUAAACACGACGUGUGGGCCUUUCUUCCGUAUUUCCUGAUAACCCGCUGCAGAAAUAGACAAACACCAAAACUUGUGGAAUUCUGUCAGAUAAAACCCUAAGUCUAGGUGUUGGUUCCAUUUAGAUCCUUUUCCAUGAUUAGUUGAUGGUUAAAUGUGAGCAUUAAGGACCGUCAACAAGCUCCCCCAAGCUUAACCUUUGCUCGUCCCUGAGCAAAGAUGGGCUCAAGAGUUUCUGCAGUGGUUUCAUGCCUUAAAGAUACACAUGCGUUCAAAUAAGAUCUUAUCUCUGGGUUAGGGUAAACUGUUAAGAUUUAAACUUACUCAUUUUACCUUCCACCAUGGGGCUUGUAACUGUCACUUGUGUCUUGAGCAGUUAAAAGAUAGAACGGUCUAGUCAAGCACCAUGUCUGUUGUUCUUCGAUUAAUUAUAGCUCUGGAGUUUUUGCAGAUUUUCAAAUAAAACUCAGAGAUUCCUUUAUGACUCUCUCUAGUCUCUCUUUUGUGGUAUUUCUGGAUCCUUACCAAGGCAGUAAUGGUAUAUGCCUUCUCUCAAAGUAUGUGGUAUUUUUGGUAUGAGGCAUAGUGGCAUUGCCUUCUCUCUCACCCUACUCUAAUAAGGCUUUGAUAUCUGGAGCUCAUAGGUGGGAGACAGCUAAUACAUACUUACAUGACAUUUAUUGCAUAGUCAAACCAUGGAUCUAGAGAAACAAGUCAAUAAGUCAAAUCAAGAUGUGCAUGUGUGGCGAAUGAAUGAUGCAUGGUAAUGAUGGUGAUAACAAUGGUGAAAGUCUAAUUCUACUUUUGCUCUUUUGAGGGGAUACAUACCUUCCUUGCUCUUUUGAAACUUUUGAGGAGAAUGAGAUGCUCUGUAUUUUCUUUUUCUUUCCUCUCAGGUGGGUAUCUUGUACCCCUAAUUCUACUGACGGACACUUGUCCAUUUUUACCUCUCGUCUCACUUUUUUUUUCUUUUCUUUCGAGGUUCCGGGCACUUGCCCCUUUUUAUUUCCUCGUAUUCACUUUUUUUCAGAGCACUCAUCCUCCUAGACUAGUGUAGCAAGUGGUAGUAACCAAAAUAUCUUGAGCAUUUAUUUCACAGGGAAAAACAGGAAUAGGAGAAUGUUUUUGGCUAUUCCCUCCCGGAUUAGGAGUAGAAUAUUUUUGGGUGGUUCUAGAGAUGGAAAUGGAUGGAUAUAUGUGGAUGCAUACUUCCGGAGUAGAAGCAGCAUGUGUGAGUGAACGUGCAAGUGAAUCUUGAUUUAACCACAUGACAAGCUCCUAAGGGUCUACACAGCUUGACAACACUCAAUGCUCAUAAGUAGUAAAAAGUAAAUGUGUGGCUCAUAGUCUAGCAAGCAUGUAUAUAUGGCUGUGGUAGGAAUUUAAACUCUCAUCAUACAGGAACUCAUCAUGCAACAUUUUAAAGAUUUUCAAAUAUAAAAUUCUCCAGAAUUCUAGCAUCUCUAGGAACAGAUAAACAACAGCUCAACCUUCCCAUAUCAUAUCCGUUAACGACUUAGACUUUAAAUCAAGUACUUUUCCCACAAGUUCAGGUUUAGAGCAAAUCUUAAUUAAUAACAGUCAUGCCUAAACUUGAGAGAGAUUUCAAUUUUGAGAACUAGUCAUGGUAGAGCAACUAUUCAUCAUUUCCAUUUGAGAGCUUAUGUUGACACCAUUUUUGGGCACGUGUCCAGGAUGGCAGGACAGGGUGGCAGUACGAUGCGGGUUGCUGGUAAGGAUGGUUGCCGAUGAGGGAAAGGUUGAAUGUGACUAAGUCCUCAGACAGUAAUAUGGUGCCGAUGACCAAGUAAAAGGGUCUGCCGAUGACUAUGGCAAGGGGAUUGCCGAUGACGCGAAGGAGGAGUCCGGAAGCUGCCAGUUGUCAUGUGGAGGAGUUUCGGUUUGUCACGAAGGAUGGUUUUAUUAUUUCCUUAUGUUAUUCGUAUCGUUUUGUAUACGGGUUCCGUGUAAUUUGGAAUUCGAAUUCUAAUCGUGUCUGGUCGUAGCUCUUUGAGCAGGGUAUAAAUAUAAGCCCUAAGACCUUGUAAUCAGGACAUCUAUCAAGAAAUCAAUCAAACAUACGUUUUACUCAUAUUCCAGCAUCUACUUUUCGACGACUUCGUCAUACUUUUUUUUUAUUUAUUACGAGUUCUUAGGAAUUCGUCGACUUAAGUUCGGCGUGUUCUCGAGUUCCGUGUGAGUACCUCUUAGCCGUGACAUCCGGGCGCAUCGCUGUUGUCAGGACUAAAGUAUUCGAGUUAUCACCUUUGCCGAUAGCAAGGUCAAAUCGGCUGGCACGCCUUAACGUUUGAAUCGGGUAUUAGCCCUUUGUGUUUGCAGAUCAGUUUUGCAUCAACAGCUUAUCAUGAGGGUUCAUAGCAAAUUUUAUUUAUUUAUUUAUUUAGCAAACUAAGCAAAGUUAUAUAUAUAAGCACAAAAUUUUAUUUGGGUUUAUAUGAUUAUGCAUCUUUUUAUUAUUAGAGCAAAGUAUAAACGUGAGUAGAAUACUUAGCUGGAUAAAUGGGGGUGCUCUCCCCCAAGCUGGAUUUUGACAUAAUUCCUUUUGAUGUAGCUAGCAGGUGGCGGAGGUGUAUUUGAUUGUCGGCAGCACCCUGACAGCGAUUAGGAUGUCCUCCGUCUGCUAGUCUUCUUUGAUCUUUGAAUUCUGUGGAGCUCAAAUAGAUAACAAAGCUUUGUGGAACUAGUUAAGUGUUAGCAUAAAUAUCUAGCCUUUAUCAUGUUGAGCCUCCUCAAUAAAUGUUACUCAUUAGUAGGAUCAUAAUUUUAUUUUUAUAAUUUUAUUUUUAUAGGUCAGGAAUAUAUUUAUUUUAUCUUUAUGCCACCACAGUGAAUGUACUUAUGGGUUUUAUGCCAUGAGCAUACUCACAUGAGGCUUACUAUUUUUAACAUUUUUAUUUUCUUUUAAGAUAGCAUGAACCAGAUUACUAAGCAAACUAUUUUAAAUAAUUGAAGGAAAAAGGAUAACUACCAAGUUUAUCUCUUGGCACGGCGUUCGAUGUUUUUAAGUCUUCCGAACGGGACUCUCCAUUUUCUCAGUCGUCCUGGGAUUCGCUGGAUGGCGUAGUCGGUGGUUCCGGCGGCGCCUGCUCUUCUUGUAUAACUAUCUUCUCUCUCCACACCUGACUCGGUGCUACGGUCUCCUCAGGAUAGUUCUGUUCAAGGUGUAUGUCUUCAGACAUUACUACUUCUCCUUCAUAGAGUACCCAUCCGUCCUUGAUGAUUUGCCUCCUCUGGUUGCGGUUGCGUCGUCUUCUUCUUGUCCUGACCUACUCACAGUCUUCAACUAUAUAGUUAGGGUCAGUAAAAUAGUGGCGUACCUUCUCAGAGGUGAAGUGCAUGUGGACUUCUCCGGUUCCAAUAUAGAUGAUUGCUUUAGCGGUGCUGAGGAACAGUCUUCCAAGAAUGAUGUGUAGAUCGUACUCGUCUUCUCCUAUGACAAUAACCUUUCGGAAUGUCUGGGUCGUCCUUUUUGGUCAGGAACAGUGACUUAAGUCGACGGUCUUGACCUCCUUGAACUGCAAUGACCAUCUUAGCUGACUUGGUCCAUAUUUUCUUGUUCCUGUUCCUCCUGUUGGUCCUCUUCCUUGGUUCAUGUUGGGAUUGCUCUGAGAUUUGUGUAGUCUUGUUCUAUAAGGAAAAUGUCUCCUUCCUUCUCUUGAUGUAAAAAUUGAUCUUGGCAGCACUAGCGUAGAUGACAGCUCCCGAGGUGUUAAGGAAUGGCCUCCCAUGGGCAUAAUGUUCACGCUGGAGCCAAAGUCGCAGAGUGCUUCUAGGAAGUCCACCAUGUCGAUGGAGAUCGGGAUGAAGGGGCAUCCUGGAUCGCCUCUCUUGACUGGCAGACGGUCAGUAAUUACUUCCACAACAAGGUUACUCCAGAAGUUACGUCCUUAAGCAUCUUAGGGCAGUGAUUGCAUGAGUGUCCCAUAUCUCCAGUGUGUUUGAGCUCGUAGAUCUAGGUUCUUCACUUGGUGGAGUCUGGGAGUCGUAAAACUCAUUCAUAUUUUGGUCGAAGUGUACCUGCUCAUAGAGACAAGGCAGAGAUCAAGUGCAUGGGCCCUAUUGGUGGAAAACACCAACAGAACCAAAAGUGUAUUUGUUCUUCUCUAACCUUAAGCAUAGUGAGCAAGACAAAGUUGAUGGAUAAUAAGAUCUGAGUGUAGCAUUUAAAGCAUUUGUCAUAUCAGAUUGCUCAACCUAAUGGAAAGAUAAUCUAUCUAUAUUUAUGUUUUGUUUAUAUCUUCCAAAGAUUGAAUGUGCAACAUUUUAGCUUAUAUGAUUAGGAGUGUGGAAUCACAAAGGUGGAAGGACUAAACAUGUUGAAUCGAUUGGGUUGAUUAAUCUAGAGUUGUAAAUCAUACAUGUUUGUCUCUUUUAUUCAUGAGAACGCCAUAAAAAAGGAGAAGCUUAUAAAAAUGAUAGUCAAGUACCUUAAGAUGUUACCUUACUUGAAGAGUGAUGGUACAGUAUCACCUUGUGGAAGCUUUCCUUUCUUAGCGGUUGUGCAUCGUGUUUGUAGCACCUUCCAUGGAUCAUCUCUUGUGAGCUAUGCCUUCCUUGUGUAAAUUGUUAAACUUCAUGUGUCUCUCUCUUUGUCUCCAAUGUGAGUUUGUCUCAGGACUUCCCAGGUCGAUAUUGAAAGUUUUCCUACAGGGGUUAGUCCAACAAAAUAUCCAAUAUCUACUAUAGCAUACUAUCGGCUCAAAGAUCAACCUAGACACCAUGUAUAAUUUGAUUUAGGAUGGAAUUUUAACCUAAGCAUCAUGCUUAAUUUAAAAUCCUUUGGAAGUAAGAUCAUCAUUCCUAAACUAAGCAGCAUGCUUAAUUAAGAGAUAAAUGAAACUACUCCAAACCUAGACAUAUACUAAAGCAAAUAAAGGUAGCAUGAAAGCAUUUAUAGAGAUCUACUCAAAUGGAGAUGAAGUAGUGUGAUUAGUAUUUAACAGAUUGAGCAUGUCUCAAAGGUAGGGACAACCAACAUAGCAACAUGGCAAAGGAUGUUUUUAUGUAAAGUACUCCCUGUUGACACUUGCUAACACCACUUGAAUACUAGGUUGUCAUCCCCAGCAUGGCACUAGAGUGUACUAUGGUAUUUAUACGCACACAGAUAAUCCACAAGCGCACGGAUACCGUUGAAGCUUUUACCCGGUUAAAGGUUUUAUCGUAUCCACAGGGAAACGGGAGAACCAACUACGCUCUAACUUAACCAAGAUAAAUAGAUAAGUGUAAAUAGGAAAGAUGGUAGUAUUGAAUAAGAACAAUAUUAAAGGUAAGAUAACAAUGGGUGAUAAUAUGGGAAUAGAGAGUAGAGCAAUCUAGUAUAUGGGCGAUGGUAGCAGAAUAGAGAGGAUAACUAUGGUUUCUCUACUUCAAAGGGGUAUGUCUAUGUCUAGGACGGACCACGUGAUAAGAGUACACCACAAAGGAUGCUUAUCCUUAGGCCGAUAAACCCUACCCGUCCUGCUAACGAGACGUGGACUACAGAGGACCAACGUAACAGUCACCUACGCGGCCUACCACACGAUCCAGCUAGACAGGGGAUAUCCACAAGUAAUCUAGGUCUAAGCACCACGCUUACACCUAUACUACAACUCUAACCUAUAGCGUCCUAUAGAUUAGAAGUACUCAAAAGAGUUGUGAACCAGAACAUACAUAAUCAGUAAUUGCAUAAUGAAUUAGAAGUAGAUUACCAGAGUCAUCCCAUGAGCAAGCUUGAUUAGAGCUUGAUCAUGACGAAGUACAACCGGAGGAAGAACCGACAGGCCGGCCUCUCCUCUAAUCCUCCUUCGCUCUCCAUCUCGCUACUAUCUAGAUCUACUCUAGUUUAGAGAAGAGAGGAGAGCUCUCAUCUCUAAACCCUAGCUUUUGCUCUGUCUAUGAAUAAUGAAUAAUGAUCAAGGGGUGGCUCCUCUAGGGGCCAGGGGGUCUGGUUAUAUAGUCCCCUCAAGUGAACCUGAGCCGUCGAAUCAAACCGACAUUGAUUGAACGGUUAUUCUUGAUCCUUUAGGUCGGUGGAGAUCUCUCGAGAGAAAGAGUCUUGAUUGGGCUCCAAGUCAGGGCGGGCGCCCAAGGCAGGAGGGCGGGCGCCCUGCCUCUGGCCCCGUUCGGCCUCCGCUUCCUUCCCGUGGCUUCUGUAGUCUUCUAGAUGUAAGAUAAUUGCGUGGCACGUUAAUAUCUCUAUGUAAUCCCGACGUGUGGUCCUUUCUUCCGUAUUUCCUGAUAACCCCCUGCAAAAAUAGACAAACACCAAAACUUGUGGAAUUCUGUCAGAUAAAACUCUAAGUCUAGAUGUUGAUUUCAUUUGGAUCCUUUUCUUUGUUUACUUGAUAAUUAAAUUUGAUACUUAAGGACUGUCAACAAACUCCCCCAAGCUUACCUCUUGCUCGUCCCUGAGCAAGGAUAGACUCAGCAAUGGAUCAGAAGUUGUUGCAAUAUCUUGAAAAUUUGACGGUACAUAUGCUUUUAAAUAAGAUCUCAUCUCUGAGUUAGAGUAAACUGUCAAGAACUAAAACUUACUUACUUUACCUUUCACCAUGGGACUUGUAACCGUCACUUCUGUCUUGAGUAGUUAAAAGAUAGAACAGUCUAGCCAAGUGCCAUGUCUCUUAUUCUUGAUCAGCUAUAGCUCUGGAGUUUUUUUGCAGAUUUUCAAAUAAAACUCAGAGAUUCCUUGUAUGAUUCUCUCAUAUCUCUCUUUUGUGGUAUUUCUGGAUCCUUACCAAGGCAGUGAUGGUAUAUGUCUUAUCUCAAUAUAUGUAGUAUUUGUGGUAUGAAGCAUAGUGACAUUGUCUUCUCUCUCACCCUACUGUAAUAAGGCUUUAAUAUCUGAAGCUCAUAGGUGGGAGAUAAAAUAUACGUACUUACAAGACAUUUAUUGUAUAGUCAAACCAUGGAAGCAAAGAAACAAAUCAAUAAGCCAAAUCAAGAUGUGUAUGUGUGGCGAAUGAGUGGUGAUGAUGGUGAUAACAAUGGUGAAAGUCUAAUUCUACUUUUGCUCUUUUGAGGGGAUACAUAUCUUCCUUGCUUUUUGAAACUUUAUGAGGAGAAUGAGAUGCUCUUCUUUUUUCUUUCCUCUCAGGUGGGUAUCUUGUACCCCUAAUUCUACUGUCGGACACUUGUCCAUUUUUACCUCUCGUCUCACUUUUUCUUUCUUUCGAGGUUCCGGGCACUUGCCCCUUUUUAUUUCCUCGUUUAUUUAUUUUUUUCUUCUCUUUUCUCUCUUUUUUUUCAGAGCACUCAUCUCUUGAGAUAAUAUAGCAUGUUGUAGUAGCAAGAUAACUUGAGCAUUUAUUUCACAAGGGAAAACAGAAAUAUUUUUGGCUAUUCUCUCCCGGAUUAGGAGUAGAAUAUUUUUGGGUGGUUCUGGAGAUGGACAUGGAUGGAUAUAUGUGGAUGGCACUUUCGGAGUAAAAGUAGCAUAUAUGAGUGAACGUGCGAGUGAAUCUUGAUUUAACCACAUGACAAGCUCCUAAGGGUCUACACAGCUUGACAACACUCAAUACUCAUAAGCAGUAAGUAGUAAAUGUGUGGCUCAAAGUCUAGCAAGCAUGUAUAUAUGGCUGUGGUAGGAAUUUAAACUCUCAUCAUACAGGAACUCAUCAUGCAAUAUUUUAAAGAUUUUUCAAAGAUAAAAUUCUCCAGAAUUCUAGCAUCUCUAGGAACAGAUAAACAGCAGCUCAACCUUCCCAUAUCAUAUACGUUAACAACUUAGAUUUCAGAUCAAGUUUUCAUCCCACAAGUUUGGAUCUAGAGCAAGCUUUAAAUUAUAACAGUUAUGUCUAAACUUGAGAGAGAACUUCAAAUUUGCAAAUUAGGCAGAGCAACUAUUCAUCAUAUCCAUGCUAGAG